UUUUUUUUUUUUUUUGGGGCCGGGGUCAAACUUUCCUACCACACGUACGUAAAUGCAUGGAAAAUUUGCAUGGAAUCGAAAACUUGCACGUACACUGGAAGUCACCAUAGCUGUUGAAUGACAUAUUUUUGGAACUUUAAAAGAAACGAAACCUUUUAAACGGAUUGCCAUUUUGAACGGUUUUAGCAGCAGCACUAACAAGAGACGAGACUCUAGAAUAUCUAAUUAUGAUAGCUAAAAGCGCUUGAUUACAAAAACUCCUUGUAGUCUCCGAUUAAGUAAAUUUUCGUUGAGAUUUUGAAAAUGCUUUUCCCAACUUGGUUUAUAGCUGAACGGUCGAUAAUUCAAAGUAAAACUUGUUUCUCCUCUGGCUGGUUUUGUUUGGAAAGUAAUUUUUCAAAAAAACAAUUACUACAUUUUCCGUGAACAUAUUUUUUUUAAUCACCUUUUUAUCUCACACAUAUCAAAUCGCUACAGUAAUAUUUUUACAAAAAAAAAUUCAAAAAUUGCAAUCCAAACAAACACCCUUUUUUUUUUUUUGAAAAAAAAAGGACGAAACAGCCACUAAUGCAUGUAUUUAAAAAAAGUUCAAAUUUCUGAUUCUGUAGCAGGGCAGGGCGGAAAUUUGGGGCUAACAUGUGUUAGUAAUUAAGUGGAAUGAUGUGACUUAUGUGAAGUUCACUUUAAGACAACCCUAAUCCCCGGGCGCAACAUCCAUUAUCAAAUACUAGACUACUACUACUAGUAGUGUAUUUAUCGACAUCACGCAUCUCCCAAAUCAUGUUAUCCCGAUGUGAUGUUUUCACUAUCUUCGUUUUGUAUUUAUUUAUUUAUUUUUGGCAAGAUCGUUAUCUUCUUUAUGAUAUCGGUUUACAAUAGACUAACAUAUGUUAGUCUUUGUGCAUUGCAAUUUUAUGUUCUUCCUUGAUAGAUCUAUCUUGCUCUGAACAAAAAAUUAAUAGAAGAAUGGUUUAUCGGAAGUUACUUCUGGAUUUGUAAGCUAAUGAAUGUUUGCGAAAUUGAUUAAUUGCUAAAUUCGUAAAAUUAACUCCAGACACUGCAAUGCUAAUCCUGUUCAAGAAAGUGCUUUAGACUUUAUCCCAAAAAUAAAGGGGAAGUGCUAUUAGGGGGUGUGCAUCCCAAUUCGUACAUUUUGAAACGGAAAACCGAUUUUCAUUCCAUUUUCUGAUUUGUCGAUUUCAAAAUUUUGAUUUUAAUUUGAAUUCGAUUGAUAAAUUGAAAAUUUUCGAUUUUGCACCACGCUCCUAAUCAUGAUUUGCAGACAUCCUGUUCCUUCUAAUCACGAUGUGACUUGUGUUCCCAUUUUGUGACUUAACGGGAAGUGCUACGGUCCAGACUUGUAAAAUCGAAACGGUCGUCUUCCUCUGGCAGACGCAAGUCGCAACUUGCAAGAAUAGGUCCAACCUUCGACGGUCCAGUUCUCCAAGUCCAAGAACAGCUCCGGUCGUCUUCCUCCAGUCACAAGAAGUAACAAUUUCUGUCAUUGGAAACUCUACAUUUAUUCUUGUUAAUCAAUUAUUUGUUCCAAGUGUAUACGGGAAAAUAAAGGGUUUAUGGGUUGGAAAAUUUUAUGAAAUGGGUGCGCCUUCAAUAAUAAAAUUUUCAAAAAGAUGAUGCAAAUUUUGCUCCACUCGAGCUUGAGCCUACCUUUUGCUUGGUCGAGCUGAGUUCGAUUCCAUUUUCUUUACUCGUCAAGAUUAAGUUCGAAUUCAAUCCUACACAUAAACAAGUCAAACUAGGAUCGAUAAGACUUGUUUGCGGUCCUACUUUCAAGAAAUUGGCGCAGCCGGUUUGCUGUCUUAGUUUUGUACUUUGUUUAGUCACUUUUGAGUUUCGACUUAAUGUUUCAUCGAGUUACCCACCCUACAAUCGUGCUUUGUCGGGCAACUGGGAAAGCCUGCGCUCUGUCGUUCGUCUAAAUUUCUUCAGUCUUAACUUGUCAUGAAGUUUUUUUCUUAAUUGAUAUUAUACCAAAUUUAAGCCCAACAUAGAAUUCAACUUGUGCUAAUAGUUUUGGGAGUUUUUUGUGCUACAAUUCUGCGAUGCAUUUAAAAUGUCGAGCCUCUCCCAAGAAAUUGAUGUUGUAGCAAUCCACCAGACAAAUUGUAUGUGGUGCGUAAUGAAUUUUGGAACGGAGAUAUAUUGAGAAAGAUGUGAAGAGAGAUAAGGUGGAGAUGCUUGUGAGAGAGCUCGUGGAUGGAGAGAGGGGACAAAAAAGAUGAGGAGUAAGGCUUUGGAUAUACUAUAUUAGAACUAUACAUUAUACAAUGCCAAAGCAGCUGUGGCACGCACUCCAUUGAUCUUCUUCCCAGAACUUUAACAAGCUUUUGAAGGAGAUGACUCUGCAUAAUUCAUCCCGAUGAUGAGGAGGCAAAGGUGGAAAUUCUUUAAUUUUGUUACAAAGUUUCGAGGAAACUGGGGUUUAUUAUAAUUGUUUACACCGGAAUAAAUACAGUAGUUAACUACCAGAAAAACUCCAUUGGUACCUCGAAUUUAGAACGAGUGUAACAGCUUCAUAGCACGAAUGUAGUGUAGAUAAAUCCGCAUUCCUUUUUUUCAAUAAAGAAAACAAUCCAGUGCAAGACAAUAAAGAUAUAUAUGUGGUAAGAAUCUUUCAGGACAAGAUUUUUGCUCGAAGGCCAAGUAAUGUACAGCUCAAAAUCCUUGUGGCCUACGUACAACUCUUUAACUUGUGACUGCAUAAUUCAGUUCUCACUUUUCAAAUGAUGCCCUUUUCUAAUUUAGCUUUUGAUAGUAUAACUUCCUUCACAAGUCUAUUAAAAUUCAAGUAUGAUGAACCAUCAAGGCCAGUUGCUUCUUCUGCCUUCAGCUUCCAGUCCGUAGCUUUUCUCUCCAUCUCUCUUCCUUUAUCUCCUUCGAUCAAUUCUCUCACGAUUUUUUCCACUUCAUUUCUUUUCACAUUUGUAUCAAUCUCCAUCCCGAUGCCCCAUUCUUGACAUGCAUACCUACAAUUGAUAAGUUGAUCAGCAAAAAAUGGCCAACAAAUCACGGGCACACCACAGCACAAGCUUUCCAAAAUUGAGUUCCAUCCACUAUGUGCAAGAAUCCUCCGGUUGAGGAAUGUUUGAGCACUUGCUCUUGAGCGCACCACCCUGUAAUCAUACCUCUUUCUUUAGUUUCUUCAACAAAUUCAGGUGACAAAAUUGCAGAAUCGCCCACAACAAGGUCGGGUCUUAAUAUCCACAGGAAACUUUUGUUACUGUUAGCUAGUCCCCAAGCAAACUCCACCAGUUGUUCUGGCGUCAGCGCAGCUAUGCUGCCAAAGUUUACAUAGAGCACUGAAUUUGCUUCCUUUGUGUUCAACCAUUGAAUGCACUCUGCGUCUUCUUUCCAUAAGUUGGAUCCAAUAGAUUGAUGACUAUCUUGUGGAAGCUGAUUGAACAAAAGCUGAAGAGGGCCAAUGGCGUAUAUUGGAGGACACAUGCUCGAAAGAGAAUUUAGAACAUCGAACUCAAGGGAGUCAAAUGUAUUGAUCAUCAAUGCCGAUGCUUGGGAAGCUCUCGCAGAUUCAGUUAUGGCGAAGUUUAGCAUUAUGUUGUCUGGAUCUGUUGUUCGAAUAAAGCUGGGGAAGUCUCUUAGACGUAUCUCAGGCAUUCCUGGAAGCCAAUCCAUUUUGGUGUCUAAAUAUCCGUUUGUCAGAUAAAUUGCAUCUGUUGUUACAAAAAGGUCGCACAAGUAUUGGCAUCAUUCAUCUGAGCGAUCACUUCCAAGAAAUGUAAUUAAGCGCACAACUAUUCUGCUCCAAGCAUCUCAAGGGAAAAUGCUCUAUAGCACUAAAAUUUGAUGCAUUUGAAGUACCCUUUGAAAGUUAAAAAGAGUACCUCUUAAGUCUGGAUACAGUACCUUUACUUUAUAUGACAAUAGCAAAGCACCAACCGUAUUUAGGACUUUCCAGUAGUCAUGCAGUAGAACCACAUUGCAUUAUAAUGUUUUAGAUUCCCCAUUUUAACUGACAUCUAUUAAAUUGGAAAAGAACUCGUAUCCAAAGUUUUAUGAUAUCCGUCUGUUGCUUGUCUCAUGAUAAUGACAUGUGAUUAAAUCUUGAAAUUAAUUGUUGUCAAAUUUAAUCUCUGUCAAAGGAAACAGUUGAUUAAUGAAAACACAAAGACCACUGUUUUUUUUUUUUUUUAAAUAAACAAGUACCAAGAAACAGCUAAAAUUUUCUCAUUUAUCAGCAAUCUUAGACACCUCAAAGAAUCUACAAUCUAGUUAUGCGAGUAAAUCAAAUUGAACCAUUAAAAUACCUUUAAGAGGCACGAGUCCCCUUUUCACGAGAUGUUCAACAUGUUUAUAGCACAUCAAGCUGCAGGCAUUAGCAGUCCGAAAAAGAACACCAGGGACCCCAAUUUCCUCAGCAGCUUCAAGAGCAAAGGACAUGAUUGCGUCAGAAAUUAUACAUGUUACAGGAGGAACAUUCAAAGAUUCUGGUGCAUCAUUGAGUCUCUUUAUUAGUUCCCGAAGAGGGCCAAAGCAAUGGUUUCGAGUCGAAUCACAUAGUGAUGGAAUGUCUUGUGUUGCAUUAUUAUCAUCAGUUGAAGUUGAGAGGCCAUCUGGGAUAGCUUUGAACUGAAAAUCUGAAAAGCCAUCAAGAGACUUGGGACCUCUGGCUUUGAGCAAACGCCUGUGAUUGUAUUCUGUGUUGACAAAAGUGAUGUGAAAGCCUCUGUGGUAAAGAAGUAUGGCUAGUUUCAGCAAAGGACUUAUGUGACCCUGCGCUGGAAAUGGUAAGCAUACUGCAUGUGGCUUUUGAAAGUCAUGAAUAUUUAUUAAAGAAUCCAUCUCUUAUUUGUUCCUUCUUUUGCACUUCUUUAGCUCCACAGAUUUAUAGAACAUCAUGCACAGACCAAGUCUCUGAAGGAGAAAUCUCUGUGUUAUUUCAUUUUAUCCCCUUAGAGUAAGCAAAAAUCUCAAUUGCCCAUUUGGAUUUCUAUUUUCUAGAGUUUUUGUAGAAAAAUAUAUUAUAGUGAUUUGAUGUAUGUGAUGUAAAAAAGGUGAUUGAAAAAUGUGUUCACGAAAAAAUAUAAAAAUUUUUUAGGAAAAAAUGCCAAUACAAAAGGAAUCCAAAUUUUUUUUUAGUCAUAGAAAAUGGUUCUAUGAUAUUUUUAUAACAUUGUGCAAAUAUAUAUUGACAUGUACCGAUAGUUAUUAUAAUUUUCAUUAUACCUUUGGGCAUGGGUAGUAUAAUUGUAGUUUUCAUAUGACAAAUGCCCUUAAAAAAAGAUAUAUGCAUCAAAUUUUGAUUUUAAAUUCAUUGCGCUUGGUGACCGCUAACACGUUGGACUUUGAAUUAUUUAAAAAAAACACAGACAAAAGAAACCUUCCAUGUCCACACCCAAAAGCAAAAUAAAAUUCUAACAAAAAGAAAAAAAAAAAAGAAGAAGAAGAAGAAGAAUCAGACCAUGAGACUCCUCCAUCUAUUCUUCAGUCCUUCAGUACAUACAAGGACAAGUGACAACUGACAACCAUUGUAUGUCAUUGGCAGGAUUUGAAUUAUUGACGACAAGUGUGGGCCUUUGAAUUAUUGAAGUUUCCGUGGUCCGAUGAUUGAACUUACUCGCGGAACGUCAAAAAUUACUCAGUGAUGGUGCACGAGGUUGUCACGAGCUGUUGGAUUGUCGAUAGGACUUGAGCAGUAGGAGCGUCAAUACGGUCGGGCAGCUUGAGCUUGGUCCGCUCGACUCGAUAAAAAGUCUAAUGAACUUAACCUUUCAUUGAAUUGGGUUUAAGUAUAAAAUUCGAUUUAUAUAUGAGUUUAGUUUAGAUUUUAUUAGACUCAAAUUCAAUAUAAGUCCUAACAGUUAAUCUGUAUCUAUAUGCAUACAUACAUACAUAUAUAUAAUACAUUUAUACUUUGGUAUUUAUAAUUAUGUAUCCAAAUAACUACAUUGCAGCACUGUUGUCACAGAUGGGGCUUUUGAUGCUCAGUUGGUGAGUGGUGGUAUGGAUUUUGUGGUUUUAAAUUCUCCUGGUCGGGUAAUGCACAAAAUCUCCAAGAAGCUAUUUGUAAUUUGCAGAAUCUGCAGUUCAAGCGGAAGCAUUAGCUUGUCUGGAAGAGCAUUAGUGUCGGCAAUGAGGCUUUAGUCCUGUUUGAUCACCAAUUUAACACUUAAAUUUAAUAGGUUUAGAUCUUAACAUAUUUAGACUGUUUGAUAAUCAAAAAUUGAACAUUUGAAUUAAUUAACUGACACUGAAUUUUCUAAACAAAACUUGCUCCUAAAAUUAAGUAAGCUAUUCACUUAUCACUGAAUGUGAUAUACACUCAAAUGUAUUAGAUUUACUAUUUAACAAUUCAAUAAUUUAAUGGAUUCAAAUUUCAUAUUUCAGAUUUUAGAUUUCAAUUUUAUCAAACGGACCUUUAUUGUACCUCUCUACCAGUCAAAACUGAUUGUAUGUUAUUGUUUAUCCUAUCUUUGCACGUUAUCUGGCUCACCCCAAUGUUAGGAAUGUCAUUAAUGAUGUUAUAACUAUGUCGUCUUUCUAUUCUAAGUUGUAUUAGGUAGGGCUGCAAACGAACCGAACCGAACCGCUCGCGAGUGGCUCGAGUCAAGCUCGACUCGAGUUGGAUCAAUAUCGAGCUCGAGCUGGCUCAAGUCGAAAUUGAGCUCGAACUCGAGCUCAAAAUAUUAAGCUCGGCUCGGGCAUAUAUAUAUAUUUUUUUAUUUUUAUUUUUAAAGUAUAUAUACAUAUUUUUUUAUUUUAAGCAUAUAUUUUUUUUAUAUUUUUAUUUUAAUAGUAAAAUUACAUAUAUAUCCUUAAUAUUUUAUUAUUUAUUAAGAAAAAAUUAUUAUUUUAUUUAUUUUUUAAAAAAUAAAAUAAUUAUUUUUAUUUUUUUCGAGCUUGAGCUCGAGUUUUAAAUUGUCAGCUCGUCGAGCUCGAGCUCGAGUUCGAGUUCAAUAAAAUUAAGUCAAGAUUCGACUCGAUUAGGCCAAAACUCAACUCGGUUCGACUCGUUUGCAGCCCUAGUAUUAGAUAAAGUUGGCAAGGAUCAAGUCCUUCUUGCCCAUGAGUUAGCGGUCGCUAUAAUGUUACUGCUACCUCUCAUUAAUAUUAAUUUUCUGUUUGUGUUUUUCACAAAAAAGUUUUAAUGUUGUAGUUCUAUGGAUAUUAAAUUAGCUUGGGAACUGAAUAACUAAAGUAAUUAUAUUAAGAAAAUUAAUGAACAAUAAGUGAGUUUUAGUUAAACCCAAAUUUGGCUCAUAACCCAAAUAUUUUGUGAUUCAAGUAUUAGUUUCACGUUUAUCAACUUGAAACUUAUAAUCCGAGAUCCGCAAAUGAUACUAACUAUAUGAGUCGAGUUUGGACUUGUUAAAACCCGACUUACAUGGCCUAAUUGACAGUGUAGCACGAGGUAUCAUGUUCAAUUUUUUUAAGUUUUCUUUUUCAUUCUACAUUCAUCCCCUGUCCUUCAUGCCUUAAAUUAUGGUAAGAGGUCAUACAACUUUCUUUUAAAAAUGAAGUGGGAAAGAAAAAUUUUAAGCUCUCUGUAUCUCUCUCUCUCAAGGUUGAUUUCAAAUCUUUUAAAGGAAAAUAAAAAAAUCGGAGGCCAACCAGUCAAAUCAAAGAUCUUACUAUCACUUAACAAUUUUUUUUUUUUAAAGAUGAGAAUUAAGCACCCUUAUGUGUUUACUGGAUUCGGAAUCAUCAUAUUCACAGACUUCUUUUCAUUUUUAUUAUCUAUUAAAUUUCAAAGAGUUAUUGCAAAUAUACCAUUUUUUUUUUUGUUUUUAACUGGUGAUCAUAGACGAUUACAACUGAGUUCUACAAGCACAUCCCAUAACAUAAAAUGAAACAGCUACUAUAUCGAGAGAGAGAGAGAGAGAGAGAGAAGUUAAGCAUCAAAGAUGCAAAAUUGGAAUCAGCCCAAAUUUACUUGAUCAGGGCAGAAGUCGAUCCCACAAGAUAAGUUGAAGCUCAAGCCAUGAGAAUAGGAAACGUGCAUGCAUUAUCUUGGUUGCUGCAUACUUGCAAGUAACCUUUAUCUAAAAUCUGGAUAAUUAGGUACAGGCCAACAUGCAUGCAUUUUCUUGAUUACUGCAUAUUUGCAAGUUACCUUUAACUAAAAUCUGGAAAUUAGGCAUUGUUGGGUUGGAGUGAUGAAAUGAGCUAAGGCUUUUGGGCACGAGAUUCCCCUCUUAGGUGAUUUACCAGCAAUUUGAAGUUGUUGUAAGAUGUCCCACCAGGCUUUGUAGCCCUAUCUGCUUUAUCCUUCCAUUCCAUGAUCUUUUCCUUCAUUUCCUUUCCUUUGCUUCCCUCCAUUAACUCCCUUACUAGCCCUUCUACUUCUUCAUCUCUUUUAACAUUAUUAUCAAUCUCCAUUCCAAUUUCCCAUUUGGUACAAAUGUAAAGACAAUUUGUUGGUUGUUCACCAAAAAAAGGCCAACAAACCAUUGGCACGCCUUCACAAAUGCUUUCCAAUGUUGAAUUCCACCCACAGUGUGUCAAGAAUCCUCCAAUCGAAGGAUGGCCGAGAAUUUUCUCUUGUGGGCACCAAUCAAGCAGCAGUCCUCUGUCCUUGAUUUCAUCCAAGAAAUCAUGAGAUAUGACCUGUGUCCCACCAUUUACAAGAUUAGGCCUAAUCACCCACAAGAAUGGAUGUUUACUAUUGGCUAAUCCCCAACCAAACUCCCUCAACUGACCUGGAGUCAAAAUUACCAAACUCCCAUAGUUCACAUACACAACUGAUCCAGGUUUCUUCUUGUCAAGCCAAUCUAUGCAUCCCAUGUCCUGUUUCCACAAGAUGGAAUCGAGGGAAUCCAAAUUCCCUCCGCGGAGUUGUUGUUCAAGCAUUGAUAGGGUCCAAUCGUGUACAAAGUUGGAAACUUUAUUCUUAUAGCAUCUAAAACUUCUUUUUCCAAAUCUUCAAAUGAGUUGAGAAUUAAGCUGCUUGUCCUCAGAGCAUUUUGUAGUGACUUUAGGUUGUAAUUGAACAUUAUGUCUCCAGGAUUCGUGGAUUGGACGAACGAGGGAAGGUCUUUUAGUCGAAUCCCUUUCAUUGCCGGUAUCCAAUCAAGCUCAGUAUCAAGAUAUCCAUUAGAAAAGCAGCUUUCAUCUGGAAAAGAGGUUGUUUGCAUCAUGUAGAUACUCUUAUAAAUUAUUAUCAGAAUAGUCACAGAAAAAAAGACCCAAAUAUGCAUCAUGAUACCUGUCAGGGGAAAGUAGCCUCUUUCUCUGAGCUCUUCGUACUGAAGAUAGCCUAACAUCCCGCAAGCACUGGGCGUAAAGAACAGGAUUUCGGGGAUUCGGAAUUCUCGAGCUACUUCCAAAGUGAAGCUCAUGACACCAUCAGAAACUAUGCAAGAAACAGGUGGAACAUCAGGGGAAGAGUUCAGUUCCGAUAUGAGUUGCUUGAAUGAUUGUUUGCAGUGCACAGGCAUGGCUACGCACAGGUCAGGAAGAUCCAAUAUACCUCGCUGGUUGGACGCUGGCAAGCCAUCAGCAACGGUCCGGAAUUGAAAAUCGUCAUGUAUUAUGUCUAGUGGAUCUGAAUCCUUGGACUUGAGCAAUCUGUUAUAGUUGAAUUCUGUGUGGACGAAAGUGAUGUGAAAUCCGGUAUAAUGAAGAAGCUUGGCAAGUUUUAGCAUGGGAUUAAUGUGGCCUUGGGCUGGGAGUGGGAUACAAACUACAUGAGGUUUCCUGCUGGACUCCAUUCCGAUUUCUCGAUUGGGUUACUUGUAACUGUUAAAGAGUGGAAAAGAUAAGACACCGCUGUGAAGAUGCAAGGCGGAGGGUGGAGCUUUGGGCUUGAAGAUGCACUCCAGAACAUGGUUCAAAGACUCGGGCCGAGUCGUCACCAGAACGAAGCUCUCCAAUAUGAUACCGAAACAAAAUGACUCUAAGAUAAUGGAUCACCGAGAACUCAACUAAGACAGCUUCGAAGCAGAUAGAAACUGCCGAAUCGUCCGAAUCAUCCCUAGUCGAUUUGAACUUUUAUUAUUUUUGCUAAUUUUUUUUAAUUAUUUUUGUUUAUCAUAUUUUUUAUAUAAUUCAUAAUUUUUAAAAUAUUAAAUAUUUUAAAAUUUACGUCUUGUCGAAACCACAAUCAAUAUACCGAAAUCGAUGUCAAACGAUCCACGAAUGGGACCGCAACUUUGAACCGUGCUCCAAAAUAAUCAAAUCAGACCCGUGACUAAUAAUUCUUGUCUUUUUUUUUGGUCUGCUGACUCUGCUCCCAAAUUGCCUCUCCCCUUAAACCAAUAUAAUGACUGGUGGUAAUUAAUUUCAAACGUUGAACUUUUGUCUUUAAUUGGCUGGGGUACCACUUCUACAUUUGACUUCAUCUGAAGAUAAGGCAGUGGCGUGAAGCGUGAACCUAGGCAGAGUCUUUUGGAAUUGAGAAGACGCAUCUUAAGAACAGAGAAAUGAAGUCUAAAAAAUAGGCAAUAAUUUUGGUCAGUCUUCCGUUUUAAUGUCGUAGGAGUGGCAUUUUGCCCAAAAUGGUCCUUUAACUAUUAAAGAGUCUGUCACCUAAAUAUUGUCCAUUUGAAUUAGCUGUUUUUUAAGGUAUUUUUGAAAAAUUUUACCGUAACAGUGUAUAUGAAAAAUUUUAUAAAAAUUUUGAUAUAUUGUAUGAAUGAGAUGUUUUUUGAGUUAUUGUAUAUUAUCAAUUCAAACAGAUGCUGGCGCAGCAGCCAUACCCGCCCUCAUAUAUAUUUAUAUUUUUUGUUCUUUUUUCCGUUCUUUGGGAUGCGAAACGCCACCUUCGUUGAGCUUGGAUUGUUAUCUAUUUUGGUGAUAUAAUCUCCAAAAUAGAUAAGUACAAACUAUUUAUUGGACAAUUACGUUCUCUCUCUCUCCACAAGUGUUAGUAGGAUAAAAUCAAGCAAAAAGGGAGGGAAAAAAACUCUCAAGGAAAAAAAAAAAAAAGAGGAGAUCAGGGACGUAGGUGUUGAACCUUGGCACGAGGUGGCGGAGAUGCUCCCGGUAUUGCCACAUUGCAUUGGCUCCAAAGCCAUGCAGCAGCAGAAGAUUAGGUUUCGAUGGUUCGGCCGUUUUUGGCACCCAACAAUGCAUGACGGUACCAUCCCCAAAAUCUGUUGUGACAGAUUUGAGGCCAGCGUAGGCGAAAAAGUACCUAUGAAGCCAAUCUGCUGAUGCUGUGAAGCUAAUGCCUCCUGCCAUUUAUGUCAAACCUCAGAGGUUUUAAGCUCUUCCAAGAGUGGUCGAAACUUAAAAAAGUUUAUUUUUCUUUUGGGUAUUCUUCUCCUAGAAAUUUUGUAGAUUUCCUCUGUCAAGACAAACAAAGAAAUUGUAGCUAAGAGAACGAGAGAAUGGCUAUAAUUUAGCUCGUGGAACACCUCCGAUCCUCGGCCCCACGACGGAUUAUUAGUCUGUCGACGCCGUUAAAAUCACGUGCGUUUUCAACUUCUAUAUUUCCCAAAUCCCCUAAAACUCCAAUCCAACUUUAUAUUUUCCAAUUCUCCUAAAAAUCCAAUCGGGCUUUGGCUUGUAUUCCUCGUUAAGAAAAGCAAAAACAGAUAUUUGAUGUAAUUAAUUAUUAGAAAUAACUAAAUUAGCAUACUGUGUCUUUUCCAAUUCCAUAGAGCGAAUAGAAGGAGAAAACCCCCUCUUUUUUUUUUAAUCUUCAAUAUUUGUUUAUGAAGACUAGGUUUAAAUCUUGUUUACGGCUUGGAUGGCAGUUGUAGUUGUGUCCAAAUUUUGGAGUUUAUUGCUAAAAUAACUCUUCUUCUAAAAUAUAUAUCCAAAGUAACCUAAUUUUAAAAAUUAUUACCUUUAUAAUUCUCUUUUUGCCACAAAGGUUGCAUAUGUGGCAGGAUGGAAAUAGAGACAUAUUCUAUCUUUCUUUUUUAUCUGAUAUCCCCCCGGAUUCUCUCUCUGAACUUUUUCCUUUAGUUAUUUUUUUCUUGUCAAAAGUAAUUUUGAGAAGCCAAUAUUUAUAUUAACAGAAUCUAAAACUUCACUAUCAUUCCUGAUAUUGUAUUCGUGGAUGAAAAUAUUCUUCUUGAAUUGAUGAUCUUAAGGUAAAUGAAGAUUAUUCUCUUGUCUUUUCUAUUGUAUAGUUUUUGGAACAUUCCUAUAGCCUUCAAAAAAAUUUUGAAUACUAAUUGUGUAACAAAUGAUUUCCCAUACCAUGUGUUUGUUAAAAUGUCCAAGAGGAAAACUACAUAACAACAUAGAUUCAUACUCAAUAUGUUUGAUUUCCACCAUAUACACGAGCAUGUUCAUUUGUAGUGCUUCUCUAUCACAUGAUCAAAUAAUCUCAUAUACUUAAUGUAUUUUUGCACAUUUAUUCAACAUCAAUCAAUGGUUUGUGCUACUUCUGAGCAACUUGAGCAUUAUCUUAAUUGCAUUAGUAGAUUUCUUUUGCAUUACAUGAAAUUUAUUAGUCUCAAUUUCGAUUUAAUCUACUAGUGGUUCUUGUAUCUAAUGGUAUUCUAAAUAACAUGUAAAUGAUAACCUUGCUAAUUAUUGACAAACACUGGUAGUUCUUGUCUUAGAUAGCAUGACAAUAUUUGCUUAAUUAAUGAUUUUUUUAAUUUUGUGUAGGUGGUGCUGCUGAAUUUUGUAGCAAUGGCUGGUAAAAAUGUUACUAUAUUUUUUUAUUGUAAUGGUAGGAUGACAACAGGCAUACAUGGUCUUAGUUACGAGGGUGUUACUCCAAAAGCCAUUCGAGUAAGUUAUCAGAUAAAAUACCAUGAAAUCAUGGACAAGAUAUAUGUUAUCAAUGGCUAUGAAAAACAUCAAGUUGCGAUAAAAAACUUCUAACUUGUGAUACCUCUUUGUUUUCCUCAUUCCCUAUAUGUGAUUUGCAAUGAUCAAAUAGAACUUACCCAUUUUGGAGAUAGGAUUAGUGAAGUGCUCGAAUUUAGCAUUAUUGAAGUGCCUGAACAUAGAAUGAGUGGAUUGCGUAAUGACAUUUUUGUAUUCAUUUCCCCUUUGCUAACACUUAAGGAAGUUUCAAGAGUGUGGGUUCAAAUAUUUCAAAAUUGCUUGCAAUUGGCAAUGAUUAUGAGACACAUUUAUUGAUUGCAAAUUUAUUGUAAUUAUAUUAUGAAAGUUUAUUUACUUCAGAAUAUCUUGUUUUUUUAGUUCGUUGCAUAAGAUAUGGAUGUGGAGAACUUUAUUACAUUAUUAAAAUUUAAUUAAAAAAUCUUAUUUUUGUCUUUUUUUCCCUUAUAACAUGACUUUUUCCAGUAGUAGGAUGCCAUUUGCCUUUUAUAAUACUUGAUUACUUAUAUAAUAAUCAAAUUGAAAACUUGAAAAUUUCAAUUUGAUAACUUUUUGUAAAAGUUCUUUUCAAGAAGUAGGAAGCAUAACAUAAACAAAUAUGAUAACCUUGAAGUUUUUGUAACUUUUUCUUGUUAUUACUUACGAUUUUCAUUGCAAUUUUUGUAUUUUGCAAAUUUAUUUUUGAAAAAUAUAUGAAAUAAGUUGAUACAUUUUUUUAAAAGUGUAGAGACCACUAAUAGUAAGGUCAAAUAACGGUAGAAUUUAUUUUAAAUAAUUAUAAGGAAAUUAUCAAAGUUACGCAAUUUUCUUGUGCCUUUAUAAUAAAAAAGUUUAAAUUUUUAGUUCAUGUUGGAAACUAUAGACUAGAUUAAAGUUUUCCUUUCUUGUUAUGCUACAUGGAAAUCAGGGUAAUUAGGUGACAACAAUAACAUCAUUAUGGGAAUAAAAUUUGAAAGUGAAUCACAUUGAGAAUAUUUUUUAGAAAGAGUGUUAUUUUGGCAAAAACUCCCAAAUUUUGCAGGAAAGAUAGAAUUUGUAUUGAAUCACAAUUGCAAUUCAUGAUUUAACACGUUGACCAAACUAAUUAUUUUUAUUUGAAGUUUGGAGAAUUGUUAAUUUUAUUUAGAGUAUGGUCCAAAAUUUCCUUUUCUACCUUGUAUAUAAAAAGAAAGAGAAGUUACUGUAGGCUGUAGCAACCUCUUUUUUUUGCCAAGUGUAUAGUCUCUUAUUUUGACAAGUGUCAAUUUCUAUUUGUAGUUGAAUUUUUACUCCACUAUUUUUUUUGGUUAAUCAAAAGUCAUAAAUAUCUCUCCUCCCAAUUCUUUUUUUUUCCUCUUUCUGCCUCUGCUUUUAACUUUCAUUUCCCUCUUUUUUCGUCAUUUUUCUUUUUUCCCCCUUCAAAUUUUUUCUUUAUAAUUAAUUAUACUAAGAUUAUUUUCUUACUAUUUUUUUAGAUGAUUAUUGUUGACCAUGGAGAGGUGUCGCAACAAUCAACUAAUUUAUACUAUCAGUUCCUAUUCCAUCAAUUUUAACUCUUUAAUCCAGUAUUUUGGCUUUUCUUUUCUUUUUUUUUCUUCAUCCUAAUUUUUCUCUGCCAUUUCUCGUUCCGCUCAAUCAAUGCAUUUUUUUCCUUUUUGCUCUAUAAUUAAUUGAAUGUAUAUUUUUCUUGUAGGGGAAUGGAUAUUUCUUUUAUUGCAUUGUUCAAAAAUCAUGAUUCAUGAAUCAUAAUCAUCUUUUUUUUAGGAGAAACCUAGACAAUAGACCUUUUACCUCCACUACUCCUACUGUUUGGUAUAUUCCAUUUUCUUUUUAUUCCUAUUCUUCCCUCAUUUCAUGCUGCCAAAUAUGGACUUAACCUUUUUUUUAUUAACUGUAUUAUUAACUUUUUUUAUUAACUGUAUUUUAUUUAGCCUUUAUCAUUUUUCUUUUUUUUUUUUGCCUCUUUAUUCUGUGACCUUGGUGUAUUUAUUUAUUUUGGCUUGAUCUACUUGAUAUUCAUUAAGCCUUCCAUUAUUUUGGUUCUGCAAAUCGAUUUUCCUUUUGUACGGGUUGUCUUAAAUCUAAAUGCAAAAUUUAUUUUUUGCAAUUUUGAUGUUUUAGUUCCUUUUUAAUGCAUAAUUGAAUCUUACACUUCCUUUACUAAUUCUUUGGUACUGAAUUUUUGUACCCUUUUUAUGCAUUGAAAAGCCUUCCAUUUAACUUUCUUGCAAGUUUUAUUGUGAAUUUAUAGGACACAAGUUUUUACAUGAUUGUGUCUUGUUUGAAAAAGAAAUAGUGGUGAAAUUUUAUACAUUUGUAAUUAUAAUAGCAUGACACUUGAGUUUUAUGAAGCAUAUAUCAUUUAUGUUAAUAUUGAAUUGGUUUUGCAUUUCUCCUGUGUUUGGUUUUUGAAUUCUUUGUUGUUGUUUGUCCAUACAAUACCCUAUUGCAUCACAAUAAGCAAGUUGGAGCAAACUUUUGGAACAUUCCACUAAAGCUAAGCUUUUUUAGGCUCAUUUUUUGACAAUUAUAAUUUCUAUUUAUUUGAAAGCAAAUUAUAGUGUAAUGAAUUUUAGCCAUAAUUUUAUAGAUGGGCCUACACUGUGCUUGCACAGUCUGGUUCCUUGAGUGUCAGAAUAUGUGUUGCUACGUGCAAGCAACGUGCAAGCAUUAGAGUGAUGGGGCCUAGCAGAGGCUUAGUGAUUGGAGCAGGAGAUGACCAUUAAAAUCGGACCCUCAAAUAUGUGUUGUACAUUAAAAGUGGUACAAAAUGCGGACCCUCAAAUGUGUGUUGCACAAUAAUAGUAGCACAAAAUGACGGAGAUUGGAGAGGACAUUGAGAAUUGUUAAGAGUAAGUUGAUUCUUGAAGAGAGCUAAAUAUAUGCAUGGAAUAUUUGAAGUCACAAACAGAAUAUUAUCAUCGUCAUAUUAUGCAAGGUGUAUUAUUACUACAACAUAUUAGGAACCCAGAUUUUUUUCCCCAACGAUAUUGCAAAGAAAAGGACAUUGAGAAUUGUUAAGAGUAAGUUGAUUCUUGAAGAGAGCUAAAUAUAUGCAUGGAAUAUUUGAAGUCACAAACAGAAUAUUAUCAUCGUCAUAUUAUGCAAGGUGUAUUAUUACUACAACAUAUUGGGAACCCAGAUUUUUUCCCCAACGAUAUUGCAAAGAAAAGGACCCUCAAAUAUGUGUUGCACAAUAACAGUAGUACAAAAUGGUGGGAUUGGAGCAGGCUCGCCGUGUUUGAUUAUUUGGCAAGGGCAUUUCUUGAGAACCACAUCCCGUGGCAUGCUAGGGAUUCAGGGAAGGAGAGAAAAGAAAACAAAAAUUUUUUUAACCCAAAAAGAAAAAAGAAAGAAAACGAAAGAAGCGAAAAUAAGCAUCUCCGGUACCUAAAUAAAUUGCCCAGGUAAGAGAGAAGGUGAAAAUCUUUUCAGAUGAUCUUCUCCUUUUUAAGAUUAGGACUCACCCCUCCAAACUUUUAUAUAUAUAUAUAUAUAUAUAUAUAUAUAUUCAGAGUAAGAAAUUGAUAUGUGCCCAAGAAAAUAGAAGUAAACGAGUAUCUAUGAUUCAGGCCUUGUUCUCGUUGGUUUUAGAUUUUAUAAAUUUUGAUUAUGAAAAGUGAUUAAUAAUCAGAAUCUGCAAUAACGAUGGAUUAUAAAUUUUAGCCUUUUAAGUUUUGAAAAAUCUAUAAUUUGAAUACAAAAGUAAGUGAAAACAUCAUAAAAAUUGAUUCUCAAAAAUCAAAAUCUAUAAUCAGUUUAAAUAAUGAAUUGAGAACAAACCUUUAAGCUCGAGACUGCAGUAAUUUAUGGAGACAGUGGCCACAAUAAAGCUCAAGGUUCCUUUAAUAUCUCGUGUUUUCGGAUGGUUAGAACUACAAACAGUUGGAUUUCUUUAACUUUGUUAUAGUAAUCGUUUUACUGGAUCGAGAUUUUAAUAUAUACUAGUUGUUUUUCGACAUUAACACCAUCCAUCAAAUAACUGAGAUUCAUUAUAUAUUUUGCUACCGUGUCUAUGUGUUUUUCUUUCUUGGUUAGAUAUGCUAGUCAUGUGUGUGCGUGGGUGUUUUUCCGUCAGUACACACAGCCAAACAUGACCUUUGAAAUCAGGUUAUAAUCUAACAUUCUUAAUGUAGUAUUAAUUAGUAAGUAAUGCCUAAAAUUAGGUGAAACUAACAGGCAUAUGGCUAUGCAUGUGAAUGUGUAGCCUUGCUUAUUAGUCACAUUGCUCCUCUAAGAUAAGCGAUUUGACAAUCUCUGUUCUUUUUUUGGCAAUUUCUGUUUGCUGGUGUGUACUUCAGAUUUAAUGUUCUAAUGAAAGAAAGAAAGACAACCAUAAAUUGGGUUUAUCAUUUUCUUCUAUUUGCUAGUCUUGAACGAGCAUUCAAGCAUAUUUCAAAAGAUUUUCAAACCAACGUAAAAUUGAAUUAAUCUUUUUUUAUAUAUUCAGUGAGUUUUUUUUUUCACAUUAGUAGGUUUGGAUGCAUGACACAUAAUUUUUAUUCAAAUUACAGAUUUUUCUUUUUUAUAUGUAGCAUGCACCCAAUCUUACUUGUGUAAAAGAGUUUCUAUGAAAUAAAAAAGACUAAAUUUAUAAAAUUUGCAAAAAAAAAAAUCAGGAAAAUUGAGAUGUUUGAUGCUGGCGAGGCACUAAAACCAACUUUUAUACCCGGAAAAGCCAACCCCAAAUGGAAAGCAAACGGGGGCAUUAGAAUCCAGUCAUUAAGAUCUGCAAUUGGGGGACAUACAAGACCUUUGAGCAUUUCCAUACUUGUGGUUGGGAAAAACUCUCAUGUUGUUUGUAUUAAAUUCAAAACUUGAGAUUGAAAUCCUAAAGAUGUAAGAGCGGAUCUUUUUGCUUUUCAUAUUCUGAACGAGUUGCAAAUAUGAAGCAACUUGUGAGGCCGUGAUCCGUACAUGCGCGUCUCUACAAUUCUAGUACUCAUUGAUUUAGACUUUUUGUUUGGAUUCAUGAUAUUCCAUUCCACGUUCAAAAAGUAAAGUGUUAUAAACCAAUACUUAAGAAGAACACUCCUCUUUACUUAUUAUUAUGUUUUAAACUUGAAGAGCACAUUUUUUUAUUUGGUUUUUUGUGGCAUGAAUAAUUGAUGAUCCAAUUAGUCAAGUUGCAAAGAGGGGUGGUGAGAAAUGAAAGUCUAAACGUCUAACGGGUGCUCAUUUCAUGUGUCAUAUUUUUAGAAAGGUAAGAUUAAUUAGAGAAAAUAAAUAAAUACAAUAGAGGGUAGGUAUGAUUAAAUAGGAAAAAUAUGUAAAUACAAAGGAGGACAAUAAUUGUUACUCUGAGCAUAUCCACGAUAAGGAAGGGUAAUAAUUAUUAGGUGAUUAAGUUCCACAUACUCCGUAUAGUUCACAACAAUCUUCACUGCAUUGGAUUUGUGAAAGACGAGGCAGUUGUUGAUUAGCUGCUCCAAAAGCGUCGAUGCCUGUAGUAAUUAAUCAAGGAAUGGGAGGAGGAGGAGGAGCAGGGGGCGGAAUCAGAAGAAUCAACAAGAAAUGUUUUGAGAUGUUUGUUAAAUUCCUUAGGCUUCUCCAAGUUGACGCCAUGUCCUGCAUGUUUAAUCACCUCAAUUCGAGCAUUUUCCCCAAUAUGCCUGCAUGCUCAUGGACAUGAUAUUUUUUCCUCAAUUCCCAAGUCACAUAACACAGAAUUAAUUUGUAAUUGUACAUAAAGGUUACUCCUCGAUCUCAUUAGACGGAAACAAACAGCUAGUUGAAAGGUUACCUUUUCAUUCUGUGACCCAAUUCCACGGGGAAGAUUUGAUCCUGCUCCCCCCAUAUGAUCAAUGUGGGCUGUUUCAAAUAUGAUACCAUUUUGAAUCAAGAAAGAAAUUAGUCCAUCCAUCUAGAAAGCGCGGGUGUCAGAUGGAUUCAGUCAUGAUAGCAAAAAAUUCCAACCUAUAGCACCAUUAUAUUUUAGGAAGACUCAAUCAAACCUGUGUGAUUCUGGGAAUCUUUGAGAGCUGUCGAUCUUUGAGUAUAUUUUUUAUGAGUUCCCUCUUCUCUUUUACGUGGUCUGUGCACAUUACCUGCCCAUGCAACAAACAAUAUCAUCGCCAAAUUGAAAAUUGAAGUGUUUAAAUGCUGCAAUGAAAUAAUUAAGCGGCAUGCAUCUAAACGAGCAUGACAAAUUUCAACCGGUUAUCGUAUUUUUGGAAGGGUAUAUAUAUAUAUUCCUAUCACUCAUUUUAACCUUUCAAUGUGCAUCCGGGCUUCAACUAGCUAUUUGUUUCCAUCUAAGAUCGAGGAAUAACCUUUAUGUACUACUACAAAUUAAUUCUGUGAAUAUGACAUGGGCAGAAUGUUGUGUACGUAGUAAUUAAGGUCAUGUAAAGAUGUUCCCCUUUUCUUCUUGGUUUGUUAAACAAGUAUAGUGCUUGGCUAGUUGUCCGGUCCCGGUGGGAAUGCAACACUGGUUUCUUGUCACAAGGGCUCAUUUAUUCUUUAGUUGCCGGUGGUAGUCGCAGAGUUAGGAAUUAGAGUCUCAAUGCCGUGCGCAUAAAUUUCCAAAUCCUUCGGCCCACUGGCCACCAGAUCGAGAACCUGAUAGGCAUUUUGGACAAAAUUAUGAUGGAACGAUUUCCAGAGUUUUUCUUUUCUUCUCUUUUUUAUUGGAGCAAGGGAAAUGCAUAAACCUUUGACAUGCACAGAGAGAAAGAACGAGGCUACGCUUACGUCAAUAAAAUCUGUAAGGAAGCACGAGGGGACUCUUUUGACAGGCUUGGCGAAUGAAAGAUUCAUCAGUUCCCUAAGUUUAUCCGGGGUCUGGGGCACCAAAACGUUAGCAGCCUCGUCUAAAUCCGGAACCGGGAACAGACCCUCCUCCAUAUCCUUCUCCUCCGAGCAAACACCAGUGCAACAUAGCACCAAUUUCUCUAUUGCCUCGGGAAACUGCACCGCCAUGCUGUACCCUACAAACCCACCAUAACUUAUGCCCACCAAGUUCAUCUUUUGUACCCCGUGCACCUCCAUCAGUUUCAUGACGCAUUGUGCCUGGAAUGCCUCCGUUCUCUCGGGACUCUUGGUCGAGGAUUCGCCAAAAAAGAGGAGAUCAGGGACGUAGAUGUUGAACCUUGGCACGAGGUGGCGGAGAUGCUCCCGGUAUUGCCACAUUGCAUUGGCUCCAAAGCCAUGCAGCAGCAGAAGAUUAGGUUUCGAUGGUUUGACCGUUUUUGGCACCCAACAAUGCAUGAUGGUCCCAUCCCCAAAAUCUGUCGUGACAGAUUUGAGGCCAGUGUAGGCGAAAAAGGACCUAUAAAACCAAUCUGUCGAUGCUGUGAAGCUAAUGCCUCCUGCCAUCUAUGUCAAAACACAAAGGUUUCAGGCUCUUCCAAAAAUGUUUUUGGGUGUCUCCUAGAAUUUUUGUGGAAUUCCUCUAUCAAGACAAACAAAGAAAUUGUAGCUUAAGUGGAUGAGAAUGGCUAUAAUUUAGCACGUGAAACACUUCGGAUCCUCGGCCUCACAACCAAGUCUCACGACUGGUUACUACUCUGCCACGCCGUUAUAAUCACGUGCGUUUUCAACUUCUAUAUUUCCCAAUCCCCCUAAAAGUCCAAUCCAGCUUUAUAUUCCCGAUUCUCCUAAAAGUCCAAUCCGGCAUUGGCUCGUAUUCCUCAAUUCAGAAAAGUCAAAACCGAUACUUGAUGUAAUUAAUUAUUAGAAAUAUGUAAAUUAACGUAAUGUGCCUUUUCCAAUUCCACAGAACCAAUAGAAGGAGAAAAUCCUCUCUCUCUCUCUCUCUCUCUCUCUCUCUCUCUCUCUCUCUCUCUCUCUCUCUCUCUCUCUCUCUCUCUCUCUUUUAAAUCUCCAAUAUUUGUUUAUGAAACAGUUGUAAUUGUGUCCAAAUUUUGCAGAAAAGAUAGAUUUUGUAUUGAAUCACAAUUGCAAUUCUUGAUUUAACACAUUGACCAAACUAAUUAUUUUUAGGAAAAAUGGUUCAAAAGGUUCUUUACAUUUUGCAGAAUGAUUUUUUUCAUCCAUCACUUUUAUAAGUGUAAUUUUACGUCACUUACAAAUUCAUAUUGAUCAAAUUUAGUCCCUACCUAGAGUUUCGACAAACUUUUGAUCGGAAUCCUCUAUGCGUUUUGCAUCGAUUAAUGUUACCAUUCUGACGUCCCUUGUUUUCCUUGAUAUCAUUGAUUAAUUGUUCAUUAUUGUUUACUAGUUGAAUGGAUGCCCCACGUUUGCCAUUCUAAUGUCCCUUGUUUUCCUUGAUAUCAUGGAUUAACUGUUCAUUAUUGUUUACUAGUUGAAUGGAGGCCUCACGUGUGACGUGAGGGUGGGCAGGUUUUAGAAACAAUGAAUAUAUUAAUAAGGGCAUUGGCUAAUGUUAUAUUCAGCAUUAGGGGAAGUGUUGGUGCAUCGCGCAGGUGUUUGAUGCCUGUGGUUAGAAAGAAUUUUUCAUUGGAUAAAUAAUAGUACAUUCUGAAAAAAAAAAAAUAGUCAUCAAAUAUGACAAAACUAAUAAUAGUACAUUCUAAUUGCAAUACGCACUUGUACACUUUGGUUUGUCAAUACUUUUACAAUUUACCAUUUCCAAAAAAUCCCUAUAGAUGUCAGUUGAAAAUCACCCAAGAACAAACAUAAGUUGUUUCAAACAAAGAAAUAUACUCCAACUGUUAAUGGCUAUGUAUGAAUUGCACAACAGUUUAAUAUGCCUUUGUGUUAAUUCCACAAUAAAUGCCACAUUUCAAUUAAAUGUGUCUAUAACACCAUUUCAAUAAUUAUACCAACACAUAAACUUAUAUGAGUUGUACUCGAUGCAAAAGCGGUUGCAAAAUAAUUCCAUAUUUCAUAAAUAUCCAAAUGUCUCCAUGAAUCAAAGUUUUAAAUGUACCAAAAUGAGAACAUUUUGAUAAAUACACCUAAACACAUGCUUCUCUCAAUUGUAUCAAAAGUUUUUUAAAAAAAACUACACAACAUUUCACAUUUUCAAAAAACUCCUAUUCAUGCAGAUGAAACUCAAACUCCCUUUGAUCACAACUGAUUCUUAUAUGGUAUAAGGAUAUUAAUGCUAAAAUUAGGGGUAGGUGAAGUAUUUUGUUAUGUAUUAUUAUACGUAUUGUAACAAAUGCAAUAUAUUAUUAUGUGAAGAAACCAAUAGAGCACAAUGAAUUGAAUAAUGCCAAAUUUGAUUUUAACUUUGAAAAAUUAGGCCUUUCAUAAAAUAUAUAUCUUCCUACACACGAGAAAGCGAUUAAUGAAGCAUUAAAGUCAAAUAAGGUAUUCUUUAGACUAAGGAGUUAAUCCAAUCAUGUCUAGACUGACGAGUUAAUCAUGGCGCUUAAUCCAUUUCCAAUGAUAGAAUAGAUCUUCCUACACCUAAGAAAGGUUUAACGAUGGAUUGAAGUCAAAUAAGGCAUACUUGAGAUCCAGGAAUCCAAUCAUGUCUAUUAUUCUGAUCAUAGCAUCUAUGACAUGAAUGCAGCAACUACUACUACAUUGAAGGGGAAAAUGAACCUCCCUUUCUUCCCAUACAAACUCCAGUAAUUACGAUGUUCCGUAAGUGUAAUUUUCAUUUUUCCAUUCAGUUAAAAAAAAAAAAGACAAACAAAAAUCAAUUUCGUUUUCAAGCCUAUGAAAUGCUCAAUUUGAUAACGGGCAAAGAGAGAAGCACCAUUAUUCAAGAUACAGUCCUAGGCGGAGAACGUAUUGACAAUAUUUUACAAACAUAGAAAAAUUCUUAUCCAUUUAUAUAGAAAAAAAAAGUCCCCAGAAUCAAACCCAAUUAAGAAUGCAAAACUAAUUCUACUUCAAACAGAACAUUAACCCAAAAAAGAAAAAUCAAAUCACAUCCCAUAACCAAGUGAAAUACCUCCAAAUAAUUAAGUUUCAAGGAGGAUGUAUCAAGAGACUGUAGAAGAGAUAAAGGAACAAUAAUGCCCACCAAAUCAAAUGAACUGAGUCCCAUCAAUUGAUCCAAGGGGAAAAGCCCUAAAUAUUAAAUCAAAACUUAGGAAAUCAAGUUGCUGGACAAGAGAAGGGGCGCAUAGAAAGAGGGGCUGUGGCUGGGAGAAAAUUUAAUUUGUAUCUUUGAUUUCAAAAUUGCGAUGUUUCUGGGUGAAAGAGAGGACUUGACUAGUAGAAAAAGGAAUACUAGAGUCUUGACAACUGAGGAGGAGGAAGAGGCGGAAGGGUGGAAUUUACAGGAAGCAUUAAUUAAGGAGUUUGGAGAAUUUGAUGAAUUUACAGGAAGCCCGUCUUAGACUCCUCCGUUAGUUCACAAGUCAGGGGUAAAAUAGGCACGAGGGUCAAACGACAAAAUCAAACAGCCAUAAGUGCCACCUCCUGCACAUAUCCACGCAAUCAGCACGUUACCAUUUCGAAUUGAAAUUCCAAGUUAACCCACCUACUGAACGUGUUAAUAGGAGACCAAAACCCUGUUCAUAAAACUUCGUUCACACUUUGAUUAAUUACCGUACGCGUUGACUUCUGGGCAAGAGGUGUCUCCAAGGGUGUCAGAUAAAUAAAAAUCUCAAAGUAGUGCAGCAGCUCUACUUGAGACUAACAGAGACCUCCUAAAAAAGGAGAAAGACAGAUCAGAGGUUUCUUGUGCACCGAUAUUGAGAAAUGACUUUGCAUUUGCACCACGAAGAUCCACUAUACAAAGUAAUCAUAUUCCAUCAACAAAGACAAAAAAUCUCUGUACAACAUUCCUCAUGCCAUCAUCUGGCAACUGCUUAACUUCUAUCGAUUUUGCUGAGAAACAAUUUGCCUACGAAAGUGUCGGAGCCUCACCAGCUAACUCGUCAUCCAACCAUUCCGCUGCGACUCCAUGAUGUAAAACAAUAGUUGCAAAGAGAGGCCUCAACUAAUAAGUUUCCUUAGCCUCUUUUCAGCCGGAUUAGCUGCCUUAUUUUGCGGUUCCAGGACGAGAGCAUGCUUGAAAUCUUCAGCCCCAAACAGAAGAGAGAAGAAAUAAGAUUGUUAAGUAAUCUGGUCCAUGGUUCCUUACAACACAGUAUUUUUUUUUUCUUUUUUCAAAGGCAACUUAGAACAUAUAGUUAUGGAACCUAAAUCCCACCAACACAUUCCAGUCUGUGCCAGCAUGCAUGUUGGAUUAACUGUACGCUAAAUUACUUAAAAACUCAGUGGUACAUCAAAUCUGCUAGUUACCUUAUCCAUUUAUGGUUUCCAAACUAACAUUUUGGCCCCCUUGUAUUUUGGCCUCACGUUAACUGAAAAGUUUUUCUGUUAAUAGUUUAAGAAUCAAAAUAUUAAAAACCAGAAAAUCAUAUGAUUGUUCUAUAGUCAAAACUCUUUUCAGUAACAGCAAUUCCUUAGUUUCAUUUUUCUUUUCUACCCAUUUUCUCUUUUAUCCCGUCUGCAGAUAUACAGCCGUCAUACAUGUCAGAAAUGUCAUUGCAGCCUAUCCAUUGAGUACACUUUUAUUAGUGAUCAAUGCAUUGAUCAGUUUUAUCUAUAAAUAUUUCGAUUGCUCAAGAAACAAACUUCUUGACAGUACAGCUAUUAGGCAAACAAUUUUAGACAGGCAACUCCAAAAGAAAGUAUAGUCUCACCUAGAAGAGCUUCUUUAUAGCAAAGAAGUGAUUCCCUAGCUGUUCCUCGUCUUAAAUACGCCUUCACAUUCUGCGUAAUGAGACAGAAAGCAUUAAUACUAGAAUUUAGAUAUUCUUAUGGUCUUGGUGACAUUAACCUCCAUGUGCGAACAAAUAAAAAAUUGAAAACCUGGCACAGCCAAUUCAGCAGACUUUGGCCACUCCAAGGUCUAAGAAUAGCUACAAUUCAUAAAAGUCUAUUUACAUCUGCAACUAGUCUACACGUUAGAAUAACCAGACCAAUAAACCCUACACUAGUACAACAUGAGCUAGCAGCUAAACUUCAAAAUCAUGUCAACACAUGGAGACAAAAAAAAAUCUGUUUAUUUAGUGCAUUCUUGAAACCCUAGAGAAUCAGUCUAGUUCACAAGAUAUGGCCAAGCAAAUCAACAUGAUACUACAAUUUCUUACUUUAUACUGCUCAAACAAAAAUAAUUUUUGUCAGCCUAAAUUACUAAGAACAGAGCCGAUAAUUGAGAAAAUAUAUUGAAAGAAUUUACCAAAAACAGACAUAGACACUAGAGAGUAUAUUUUGCGAGCUCAGCCACUUUCAGCAAUGGCCUACACUAGUAGGACAAUAGCAAGGAAGACUAUACAAAGCAAAAGCAACUCUCAAAGCUCAUCACGUGAGACUGCAUCUUGUGCAACUCUCUUUCUCUCUUUAGUUUCAUAUAACUGGUAAUUACUUAUGAGUCCUCACCCUAUGCUGUCCUCCUUGAGAUAUGAAGGGCAAACACUAAACAGUAGCACCUUUACAAUGACAUGGUACAACAAACUAAUAAGGUCUUUUCACCUUCUUAUCAAGAGAUAUUGCGCUAGUGCAGUCCUCCUCAGCUUGUUGAAAGCUGCAAGAGAUCAAUCAUUCCAAUUAAUAUAAAAUCAAGAACUAAAACAGUUACUACCAGAAAACAUUAUCCAGAGGAUAAAUCCUACCAUCCUAAUUCCAGAAAUGCAGCUGCCCUAUUGCAAUAGUAAGUAGCAAUUUUAUCAUUCAACCCAAUUGCUUCGGUGUAGUAGCUUACAGCUUUAUUCCACUGCUUUCCCUUAUAUGCCGCAUUUCCCUGUAGCACAAUUAAUCAGCACUUCUCACAAAGACAAAGACAAGAAUAGGACGAGGCUAUCAUGACACAACAGAUGAACUUCAGGAAAUCAAAAGAACAACUUUUAGAAGGCUCAACUAAUAAUGGAAUAAUGUUGAACACUAAUUAGAAUACUCAAACAUAGACACCAUCACUGAAUUCUUCUAUCAAGGUCGACAGUCCUCUAAUCAGGUCCCAUUAUAAGCUGUUAUCCUGAAAUCUAAAAGUGGCAAAACAUGGAGGGACAGUUUGUUGCAGAAAUAUUUUUCUGCUUACAAAAGUGACCAGGAAUCCUUCCUCUCCUCCUUCACGUGUCCAAGAGAAAUUCCCUUUAACUGAGAUUAAUUGCUAAAAUUACAAACAGCCUCAGCAUUCUACUGACAAAUUUCACAAAAGAGCCUCAGCAUUCAACCAGUUCUAAAGUAAUGCAUAACUCUGGACAACAAAGUCCAAGUUACAAUGUGAGUCUACCUCAAAAAGACAAAGAUCAUACCUAAAGUGGGAAACUUAAAACUCAGCACCCAAUGUAACACAAAGAUUCUAUUUAAGUUAGACUACAAAACAAGAGUACCCCAUGAAAUCAAUAGAUUCUUUAACUCAAAAUUAAAACCUGAAACAUAAACUUCACAUUACACCUAUUCAUUUCCCAUUCUAUCCUUGAUUGACAUCAAAGUUCCAACAAUGGCAGCAAUAUUCCACAGCUUCCAUUAGAAAGAAAGCAUUUGAGACAUCAAUGGAAGAAAAGAUAACGGUACAGCUCCAACAGAAGUAUACCUUUUCCUUCAAUAGUUCAGAUGUUUCCAUGUUGCCAUUGAUAUCAGGCAGCGGUGGAGAAUUUGAAACAGUACUAACUUCAUCUUGAAGAGAAGAAUACAUAUCGACAAUGGUAUCAAGCAGAAAUUUGUCUGCUCCAUGGGAUGCAAUAAAUGACACAGAUACUGGAUAAUCAUCAUGCUCCCCAAAAGGAACAGAGACCUGGAUAUUUACAAACAAGAUAGAAUAAAAAACCAAUAAAAUGGCAAGGAACUGAAUUGAGAACACUAAAAUCUGCAAGACAUGUAUACCUGACAGCAGCCAGACAUACUCGCAAUGCUUGAUAAAGCAAAUGUUCUAUCCAGGAACUCAGAAAAUGCACCUUUCUUUAUGUUAAGUUUCAACGGCGGGUCUGCAACUGUUGGAAUUACUAAUAUGCCGUCAUCCUAAAGAUAAAAAUACAAAAAAAAAAGAGAGACCGGGAAAAGGUAAAUAAAACACAUACUACAGAAGAGAGGAGGCAAAAACAAGGUCAAAUAUAUAAGUAAAGAAUAACUAAUUUCAGAAGAAACCAAAAAAGUUAAGGUCAAAACCAUUCAAAACAUUUGAUGUUGUCUUCAAUUUAAAAAGAAGGUCAAAAUUCCAUGUUCUCUCUCUUUUGACUGUUUGCCGACAAUAAAGACAAACUUGCCCAAGCCACGAUAUCCAAUAGGAGAAUUCUUCAAAAGCACGUGAACACUAGAAUUAUGCAACUCCAUAGAAUAGGCAUACCACAAUAAUGCAAUUGAACAUGAUACAGUAUUAGCUAAAGGUUCUUCCUACUGCCCAACCCCCAGCCUUCUCCCCAAAGAACAAGGCUGCCGAAAAAGAGUAGUAAGUAAUGACAGCAGUAUUUGGAGACAAAAUUUAGAAUACCUUCAAAAGAGCUUGAAGAGCAGUUCGCAUUUCACUCCUUAUUUUGUAAAGAAUUUUGAUGUUCUCAGGUGUAGUAUUAAUUGCUGCUAGAACACCAUCAGAGACACGAGGUCCCAAUCUGGGUUUAACUGAAACAAACCAUUCCUCAUGAUUUGUCCUAAACUCGUAUCUGUGCAGCAGUAAAAUAACAGAUGUCAACCAGAAUAGAAUCAAAGCCUCCAAAGUCAAGGUACCAUCAAAUGUGUGAAGCUAUGUUACACAGGACUUCUAAGAGCAAAAAUGAAAAUGUCUUCCCACUACAUGAGUCACAACAGUCCUUCAAGUGGCCAAAUUAGUAACUAGAUAGAAGACAAUUUCUUUGGUUCCACUACUGAAGAAUGACCUUCAGAUAAGCAUUUUAACUAACAUGCAGACAUUCAAGCUUUAUAUUGUUGUAAUAAAGUUUGAGAAAGGAAAAAUUAAAGUAGAAAUUUCCAUUAAAACAUCCUCUUGAUAUGUUGGAUACAUAAGUAAGUUUAUAAAGGACUUCCAUUUUCCCAAAGUUAAAAACAUGACAUGUAAAAGAUACUUUGCAUUUAUUGCCAUCUCUUCCAUUAGAACUAUAAACUUCCAACUCUUCAAGUUCAAACUAUUAAACAAGUAAAUAAAAACCAUUCAAACACAGUUCUGAAGUACCUCUGCAGUAUAGACAUGACAGAAGCAAGAGCUUUCACAUUAGAUAUCAAGGUCUCGUUUUUCAAUUCUUCAUCAAAUCCUUUUAAACUGGGCACAUUUGAAGAAAUAUACUGCCCAAAUUUUAUAUGGUUCGCUGUUUGGUCUGCACCAUCAAUGAAAGUUAGAGAGUAUAUAUCUUAGUAAAAAUGUCAGUUGCUCUGGCAAAAGUACUCCAAUCCAAUAAUGAAAACCACUGAUACGGUAUCAUGUAAGACAAUACCAAUAAUCAACCUUCAUUAGGAGAAAUCGCAAGUCAACUUUCACAUGGGAAAGAAAGGCGCAACUUACAGCCAGAUAAUUUCCCUGUGACUCGCUUGAAAACAUCUAUAGUCUUCCACUUGGGAACUUUAGAAAGCUGAAAGAGAUCAUCAGCUAUCAAAAGGCGCCUUGUCUUUCGAGUUUCCAAUGGAUUUAACUGAAGCAGAACAUGUCCAACAUGACGCAACGUAGAGGGGUCACGGGCAAACCACCCUAUAAAAGUAUUAAGCAGAUGAUAAAAAAAAAUGCCAUAUAAGAACACCAAUAAAAUGAAAAGGAUCCAUAACAAUCAAGCCAAAACAACAAUUUUUGCAAUGCAUGUACUAGUUCAUUAUCUAGUUUUUGGAGGGUAGGAGACUGGACAUUGCGAGAUGAUAGUGAUAUACAUAUGCAACAGUUGAGCAUUUGAUGUUAUUCCCAGUACUAGCUGCUCAUUGAUAUUGACCAUUGACACAUGAUAUCAUUUCAAGUCCUAACCACCCUUUGAAAUAGACCAUCAAAUCCAUCACAGAUGGUCACCAAUAUUUAACAGGCAAAUGUCAAAUGAGCUGUCAGUUUGGAACCAAACUCAACUUACAAGAGUUUUAAGAUGAGCAGAGUUCAAUUGGCUAAUCAAUGAAGUAACUAGAUGACCUGUAUUACAUACCAACAGUGUCUAAACUUUGAGAAUUUGGUAGAACACCAACUAGAGAUACAAUCCCGUGCGACGGUCUAAAUCCAAGUAUACCACAACAUGACGCUGGAAUUCUUAUACAUCCAAUUGUAUCAGUACCUGCAUCGCUUGAAAUAUGUCAGGUUACAGGGUCAGAUAUGAAUUCACUUUUCAAGUGUUUACAGAAAAAUACAGUCGUCAUUUGUGACAUACAAAACAAAUGGAUUCAGUAAAAAGUGAAAGAAGUUCUAAACCAAUAGCACUUUCAUAUACAAAAGUUACAGGUUCCACAGACGAAGGUCAACAAAGCAAAAAGAACCCAACUCCAUAAAUCUUAUGAAAAUAGUGAGACACAAAUGUUGUAAAACUCAGGCUUAAAGUCACUCCAGAAGCCUUAUCAAAAUAAUGAGCCAAUAGAGCAACAAUGUGACUCGUGUUUAUUUACAGGAACAUCAAUCCACGAUUCCAUGUGAGCAGAAUGCGUACCGAUAGCAAAAUCCACAAGCUUGGCAGCAACAGCAACAGCUGAACCACUACUUGAACCCCCAGGUAUAUGGGAUGGCAAGUUUGGAUUAGUUGGAGUUCCAUAAUGAGAAUUUUCCCCUGUUAUCCUGACACCACAAUCCACAAAAAUAUUGAUAGAUAAGCAUAUGAAUGACUUUUCAAAUACCAUAGUCCCGUCAAAUCAAAUAUUUUCCCUGGAGUCCAAACAAAUAAAAGUUAAUAUCUUGCCUAUAAAUUAUGCAGAAUUCUGCUUAACUAUGACAGACGAAUUAAAAUUUAUAAGUUGGCUCUAACUAUUAGUGAUCAUUUCUACGUACAGACGUAUCUUAACAAUAGAAUUUUGUGACGAACUACAAAGUUGUUCACAUGCAAUUGAAAGCAGAGCAUGUACAACAUCAAAAGGCAACAAAGUUUAUCUUUUUGACAAAUCUUCUAGGUUGUCGCGUCCCUAAAAAUAAUACAAAAGUUAGACCCGUUGGACUAGAAGCUUUUCCAUAAAUUAUGAUUAACUGCUGAUCUAAAUUCAAGAAAGGUUAAGGGACCAAAAGGCCAUAAUGAAGGCCAACAGAUAUUAUAUCUCUACAGCAACAAUAACAGAGGAGAAAGAGAAAGAUACCCAAAGCCAAAUUCAUCCAUGAUUGUCUUUCCAACACAAGUAGCCCCACUUUUCAAGAGAGCCGUCACCACCACCGCAGUCUUGGCCGCCACCUCAUGAGUCUUCUUCCAGUCCACACUCCCAAACCCCGUCACAAAACCCUUUACAUCAAUUCUACCAAAAAUCAUUCAUGGAAAAAGAGAGAACGAGUAAGCUAUAGAAGUUAGGAGCAGGAUAUGAUGAAAAUCAUAUGAUCAAAGAAAGAAGUGCUUACAUGUCUUUAAUGGCGAAAGUGAGGCCGGAGAGGGGGAGUCGAGCGGCGGGAGGAGGAGGUUGAGGAAAUGGAGAAAGCUCGAAGCGCUCGACAAAGGAGCCGAAGUCUUCUUUGAUUGCAUUUCGGGAUUUCAGACGGCGGCGGCGAGUCUCAGCGAGAACAAUGAUGCCGGCAACGCCUACGCCGAUCAAGAUCCAGACUUUAGGGUUUGAGACAUUGAGCUUUGAUGAACUUGACAUGAUGAUGAUGGGUUGUUCUUGAUUGAUCGACGAACUGAUUGAAAUUUGAGGGUUUUACAAGGGUUUUAGCUACUUUUUCCUUGCCUUCCUUGGAAGAAGAGUUGUAUGACUCAUUUAGUCACAAGGGGUUUUCUCCUUCUUCCACCUUUUUUUUUUUUUGUGGGGGGGGGGGGGGGGGGCGGGGGGGGGGGCGGAUAUGCAAGGAACUGAGAGCGUGUCAUCACGCGCAAAAGUUUGUCUUUACUCGCAAGAAAGAUAUCAUGCCCCUCCAGAGAAAAAAAAAAAAGAAAGAAAAUUAUAUUGAUACACAUCAUUACUAUAGCACAAAAUUUCUUACGUGUGUGAAGAAUUCAAAAUGUGUAUAAAUAGUAGUAGGAUAAUUUUUUUAUACACCGCGAGUGUAAUAAAUUCAAAUUAUGUCACAUACUAUAUCAAUUUAAAUUUCAAAUUCAAAUAAAAAACAUGUGACAUACAUCUAAAUUUGUCAGUGUAAAAAAAUUACUGUACUAUCUGUGCAUAAAAAGUUAAUCCAUAAUAGUAUUGCUUAAAAGAAAAAAAAAACUAUCGGAUUUACUACUAACCCGCUGAGAUUUGAAAAGCUAUUCCCACUUGCAAGAUUGAGUAAGCCCAAAUUUGAUGGGAUUAUGUAACAUGAGUUAUGAUUCGCAUUACAUUACUACUUUCGACUCCAAAAUCGUUAUUAUGUUGUCAUAUUCAUAUUUAAACCCUAUUUGAUAACUACUUUCAACUCCAAAACCGUAAUUAUGUUGUCAUAUUCAUGUUUGAUAACUCAAGUCAACAUUUAAACUUCUACGCGGUUGAGUUCAAUAAGACCGGAUCGCCUUGUGCAAAGUCGGCGCAUGCUCGAGGCAAUAAAACACUACAAGAAUUACCUAAUCAACACAACGUAUCCUCCUCUGUGAGCAAGAAAACAAGAAAUUUAGUAAAUGCCCCCAUGUAAAAGUAAAGUAAGCCCCCACGUAUUAACGUAAGAGGCAAUCAAAGUUAACGAGCAAUCUUCAGGGUCGGAAUGCUUUUUAUUUUGAUGUCGCCCCAGGUUACAUUAUUGUACCACCUUUCCUCCGCUUAUCUCGGUCUUCAAACUUCACUUUGCCCUAAAUGCCAAGUAAAUUGUGGAAUGCUUCAGAGGGGCCGUCAGAAAAAUGCUCUGCAUUUGCUUCAGAGGGGCCAACCAAACACCAACUUGAUCAAGACACCCUUCAACUAUAUCUCUAUACCUUGACUUGUCAACAAAUACCAAUUUCCAGCUUCAUUAUUACAAGAACUACUGGCUGUCAAACAACUCAGCUCCGAAGCCUCGUGUAAAUUACAGAAAAAUGCUUCUAUGAAUCUACAAAUGGGAAGAAUCAAGCUCUAACAAACCGCACAACACGAAUAUAGAAACUUAAAAUACUACAGAUGGUGUGGAGUGGGGUUUAUAACCUAUAUCAAAUCAGAUUCCCCUGUUCCUCCCUCCCCCCAAACUUCCGACUUGUAUACAUAUGAAAAACAUUAACGGAUAUCUUAUCGCGGUUUCACCCCAUAAAUCGCACAACAAUGCAGGAGAUAUCAUCUUUGCUUUCUCUAUGUAAUGCUUCCAUCACUAGUUGUUUUGCUCCCUUCUGUGGGUCCUUUAUCUUCCGUGCAAUGUCAACUGCCUCCUGAUUAGACAUCACCUGGAGUAUUCACAGGCUAGGAUUCAGUAUAACUAAUCAUUUAAAUCCAUGAAAACAGGGGGCAGAGAGAGACGCACCUUCCAUAGACCAUCACUUGCAAGGAUGAGUACAUCUGUCUCUGCCUCAAUGCUGGCAUUUGUGACAUCAGGAUCUGAUCGGAGGUGUGAUUUCAGGUUCUUGUCUCCAAAAGCACGGGAUACAGCCAGUUGACCGUUCACUCGUGCAACAUCCCCUGAUACAGAAUCCAAUUAAGCUUUACACUUUAGUGAAAAAAUAGCAACAGAUUCCAUCACUACCAUCCAAGAACCAUAUUAUGCAUUGCUCCUUAUCAAGAUCGAAAAGUUAUAGAAAAAGCAGUAGUAACGAUCGAUACUCACUUUGGAUUAAGUGAUGCCGUUACAGUUGAAUAGUUGCAAGGUGCAGAAAUGAUAAAAUGUACUUAUCCAUUUAAUCUUUCUCAAGAAAAGAAAUGAAUAACCAAGAAGGACCCAGAAAAUAAGACCUGUAACUUCCCAGCUACUUGUAAAAAUAGACAUUGAGUAUGAAAUAGAUUUAAAAAUUGAGUAUGUAAAAUUACCGUGAACUUCAUGCAAAACAGAAAGAGAAUAGUCCACAAUAAUCAUAUGAUAGACAAGCCAACAGUGCAGUGAAUACGGACAAACCUCCUUUAAGAUAUUAGAAAACAAAUGCUUCUGUAAAUAGGCAGGUACGCUGUCACCCAAAUGCCCAUCAAAAAUAGCAAAGAGUCCAAGCUCUCGUCCUUGAAUCUGAACAAAUUUAGCAACAUGGUAAUCUUCCAUAGGAUGAUUUGCUCUCCCCUUUACCAGGCUAAACCCAUAUUUGACAGGACCCAGCUGACUUCUUCCCUUGCCAGAGCCACAUGAAGAGCGUCCUCCAGCCUGAUAAAGGGAAGGAAAAUUUAAACUUCAAGAGCAACAGAAAAUGCACCUGAGACAAUUUGCUAAAACAAAAAAGAUAAAUGCUUUACUAUGUCAAAUCCUUGAUAUUGACCCUCUAAAAUAUAAUUUCUUUAACUCCAAUAAUUUUAAUCCAGAUUUUCAAUGACAGUGGUAUCCUAUACUACAGCAGUUAUGAAUAUAACGAAAGGUAAUCAUUCUCCAGAAGGAAGCAAAAUAAAGCGUACAACAACUGCUAUAGAAACUAAAAUUCCUCGUGUGGAUGAAAUGCUGUAACAACCUCACUACUACCAUCCAACAGCAAACAUCCGAACAUAAUAGAGAACCUACUCAAGACAAUCAUGACAAACCCCAACUCAAGUUGAAAUAAGACCCAAAAUUACAGCCAAGCUGCAUGUUGUCACUCCACAGACAGAGGAGAUGCAGAUUUCUCCAUCUCAAAAGAAGCCAUGGACCAAAUAAUUAGCUUAGUUUUUUAACUCAUAAUGAUGCAGAAAACCUCCCACAGUUCAUAGCAUCAAAACACCAAUCAAUCAUCGAAUCCACCAGAAUUAAGCAGCAUAUUAACAGUAGAUUCACAAGUAUAAAGUCAAAGUUACUAGAUCAGUUCCUUCAGAUAAGGAAAACAAAUGGAUCAGUUUUCCAAUAUUUUUUUAAAAUUAGCUUUCCGAUAGUUAGCGAAGAACCGAUACAAGAAUAAUAAUAAUUCAAACAAUCUGUACAACAAAGAAAGAAAUCCAAAUGGAGAAGCAGCUGGGACAAGCUCACCUGGGAACUGAAGCAGCAAAAGUUAUCCAUAUAAUUCAGCCCCACCUCACCCUUCUCCUCGACAAAUUAACAUCUAACCUCCAAUUCCGAAGCCUUUAUUUUCACAACCUGUCGGAGAGCAAAGAAAGAACUUUGAUGAUCAUCAAAUAAACACCACCGCUAACGGUAAAAUCUCAAUCAAGAACCAAUCUUUCUUCAAAAAUCCACCAAAAAAAUAACAUAAAAUUAUCAUAUAAGUAACAUCAAAAAGUUCCACUUACCGAUCCGCCAACUUCAAAAUUUCCCCUGAAAACGCAAGAAAGAUCCUAUCUUUGUGUACGACUUGACCAGUCCGCUGACCAGAAACCCUGUAACGAGUCGAUAUAUAUGCCUGUAAAAAAAAUUUCCGACCAAAAAAUUGAAAAGAAACAGUUGGAAUUUCAGUAAAGAGCUGGCAAUAGUUUUAUGGGUUUCUGUUGUUGAGGGAAAGGGUCUUGGGUUUGCUAAGAAGGCAAGAUUGGCUGCCAAAGAGACCAAAGCUUAAGCUUUGGCCUUCCCUUAUUGACUUUUGUAGUCUUUAUUGUUUCUUUAUUAUUGCGGCUAGUGUUUUGCAAUUGUAAUAAUGCAGCGAUGCAGGAGUAAUUGUUACAAAGAGUCAAAGAGUAAUGGUUACAAAGAGUCAGAGUCACUGUUUGUUCAUUUGAUUCGUGAACACGUACAGCUGUUUCAGUUUUUCCUUCUCUUGUGGGUCUACAACUUCCUGCAAAAGUUUGCAAUCAAGUGCUCAUCUGGUCCAUUUGUUGGCCUAUUCUCUAUUUUUGGUGGUCAGCCCUAUACCCUUUUUUUCUCGACUUUUUUAAAUUAAGUGCGAGGUGUUGAGCCCCUAUUGCCAUGCCCUCCUACUUAUAAGAAUGGCAAUUGAUAAGGUAAAAUUCAAUACAUGCGGGUAUUAAAUCCGAUGGUUAAUUCAAUUAAAUAACCGAUAGGUAAUUAAUUAGAGUUUAAUAAGAAAAUUCUAAAGAAUUCGAGAUCCGACACACACACACAUAUAUAUUAAUGAUUAUUAAUUAACUCUCAAAUCCUCUUUCUUAUCAUCCCUCAAAUCCUCAAACUCUUAAUUCUAAUCAUUUUAAAAUUUAACGUAAUAAUGUAUUGAUUUAAUAUGAUGUAUGCAUUAAUUUUAGUUUAAUAAUAAUUAAUUACCUUUUUUUAAAACUAUUCAAAUUAGGGGCAGAGAGUACUCAAUAAAUGCUCCGAGAUUGAGAGUUUAGUAACGGAAGUUAAAACCUAUAAGAUUAUUCGAUAGGAUUUGAUGGAAAAAAAAAACUUAAAUAUGCGAGUUAGAAUUCGAUAAGAAAGAUUUUUAAGAGUACCCAACCCACUACUUGCUCUGAAGUCAAAAUGUGUGCAGAAGAAAAUUAACAAAGCACCAAUCAGCGCUGCAAUCCUACCUGCAUACAAUUCCUCCCCACCAUCACCCAACCCAACUUAAAUAACCAUUGCCCUGUUUCUACUUUUCAUUCAUUUUUUAUUCUUUCAGCCAUUCUUGAUUAGGCAUCAGCCACUAGCAAGAGAAUUUUCCAAUCCCCCAUGAUGGAUUACUUUUCUCCUGUUUGAUCUUUUCUAUAUUCCUUGCCUUUUAUCUCCUUAGCAUGUUUACAUAAUGUGGCGAAAAUCAGUCGUGAAGACCUCCCUCGCAUACCCUGUGAUGAUGCAACUUUGCAUGCGAUGAGCUUCUGGCUUUGUCUAAAAGAUGUGGAGCUCAACUCAUCCAAAAUAAGUUGCUUUUUCAUUUGUUUCAUAACUCAAACGGAUUUAAUCAUCUCAAACGUAGUCAAACCAACAUCUCUUGAAAAGUUAAAUACUUGAGUUUUGUUGUUUUCAUGAACUGUAUACAAUUCAAAGGCAUACCUACCAACUCAUGUACCAGAGCCAUCUGGGAGACAAGCUGCGAAUUUCAGAUUAGGAAGAGAUGUUUUUCUACCCUUGAAAUGCCUGUGGCAGAGUACCUUUACCAUUAUUAAAUGAAGACCAAAAAGCCAAAACAGACUGAGUACUUCAUGUUAGUCUAAUGUUGUUGUGUUUAAAAUGAAAAAAAAAAAAAGGUCAAAAGUAUCUGCGGUGUUUUCAUCCAAACCACGGAUUAGAUUAAUAUAUACUCUAGUUCAAUUGGGCAAUUAAAAAUUAGAGGCAAAGAGGGUCAACUGUACAGCACCAAAUAAGCUACAUUGCCAAAUAUCCAAAGGUGAUUAGUGAACAUCAAGUUGUUUGGUUAUGGCUGUUAUAAUUCGAGGAUGGAAUUGUUAAAAUACUCACUCAAGUUGUUCGACAAUUUGGAAUUGAUUCAGCAGCCUAUUUAUUUAAUAACAAGAAUAAUAAAAGAAAAGGAAAAGACAUUGCAAGAAAUGAAAGUUUAGGAUUCCGCUAGAGAAGCAGCUGAUGGGGUUGGCACUAGUAAGGUUUCAUUGGGGAUUUGUUUUUGAUGCAAAUAGAUGCGAAUGUCAGGUCUUGAUGUACACUGACAUGUAAAAUGAUACUCCAUGUAAUCUUUAUGAAUACCUCAUUGUAUCUGUCAAUGUCGUCUUCUGGAGUCAAAGCUGAAUCGGGCUAUUCCCAAACUCAGGCAUCUAACCUUAACUUGAGCGAAGAUCGAGCAAUUCACUGUCCGAACUAGGAUCAGGGGAUUUUUUUUUCUGUCAAUCGAUAACUACUAUACUAUUCUUACUUCUAUUCUAAUUCAUAUCUAAGAAAGGGCCAAACUGGAUCAAAAGGAGUUUAAGAGUGAAUAGUUUCGUCUCUAGAUAAAGGGGUAUACCAUUACACAUCUUUGAAUUUCACUGCAGCAGCAGUCAGGUUUAAACUUCAAGUUUCACUUGGUAACCGCACUCACCUAAGGUGAAUUGGCUAGGGUCGAUUGAUUUCUUGACCAAAUUAGCAAGGCAAGAUGCAGAAGGGAGUGAUUUUUAUUACCAUUGUCUAAGUUGCAGAAGGGAGUGUUUCAAAAAAAAAAAAAAAAAAAUUGCAGAAGGGAGGCCUGGGCGAGACAGAGGCAGUGAAAUCAAGAAACGGGGCGGGAGGAUGAGCUAUUUGCGAUUUGUCGCAUUUCAGCAGUCCUCGUGCGCUUACUGCCGCAUUUCAAUGUAAUAAUGUACCCUGCCCCUGUGGCCUGUACCGAACCACCCGAGUCUGAGGCUGGAGCUGGACCUCUCGCCUCUCGGGCGGCGAGCAGGAAACUACCCCAUUUGGCCAGAAAAUUACGUUGUUUCCGUAAUUACAUUUUUCUAUUAUCUUGUUUCCUCAUAUAUAUCAAAUCGCUGCAGUAAUUUUUCUACAAAAAAAUCUUAGAAAAUGCAAUCCAAACAAGGCGUUUUUAAAUUCGGAUCGGAUCGACCGGUCCGAUCGGUCGAACCGAAAAUCGACCAAAACUUCGAUUAAAUCAAGUUAAAAUUCGGGUUUGAUCGGAAAAAAAUCGGAAGAACCGUGGUGUUAAAGCUUUUUUUUUUAAAAAGUUCAAAGCAUUUUCAAUAUUAUGUUUUAACCCCUAGGUUGUAAAAAAUUAUUAAUAUACCUCAAAUAUUGCUUACAUUAUAAAUAUUGAUCUAAAAGUUUGGUGUUAUUUUUCAAUCAAGUCCAUAAUUUUCAAUUCUAAACUUGUUAAUGUUUAUUGAAUAAUAUAAAUUGCUACUUGAUCAUUCUAAUUUCUUUAUAUUUUCUUGUUAAAUAUAUUUAAAAUAUCAAAUAUAUAUGAAUAUACCUUUAUUAUUAUUAACAUACUUUUAGAUAUUUUACAUACGAUAUUUUAAUUUUUAAAUAAUUUUUAUUUAUGAUAAUUCAAUUCCGAUUGAAUUCAUUAAUCUCUGACCCUUGAAUUCGAUCGAGUCGAUACUCGGUCCGAUCCUAAAUACAUAGGCAGGAAAGGAAAGUGGCCCCCGGGGACUGGGGAGGGAGUUUAUACAGUUUUACUAAGGGGGCGUUUGGUAAGAGGGUAUCGGAUUCGGGGAAUGGAAUGAACCCCAUAAAUGGUGUUUGGUUCACUGGAAUGGGAAUUGAAAUCUUGGAAUGAUUUCUAAAAAUUUGGUGUUUCUCCAUUCCCAAGUAUUUUGGUGGGUUUUGUCCGAUUCCCAAGUUUGAUUCCAAGAAACAAAUCCAAUUACAUAUUAUAAUUAUACAAUGAUAUAAUUAAUAUUUAUAUUUAUUAUAUUUAUUAUAUAUUAUAAUAUAUACAUAUAUAUUAUAUAUUAUAUAUUAUAAUUAUAAUAUUAGUACAUUAUAUAAAUAUAUAUUAUAAUUAUUUAGUUAAAUAUAAUUAUAUUUAUAUAAUAUAUAUUAUAAAUUUAUUAAUAUUAUGUAAUAAUAUAUUUAUAAUAUAUAUGUAUAUUUAUAAAUGCAUAUUAUAUGUGCAUAUGAUUAUAAUAUACACAUGUAUAUAAUAUUAAUAAAUUUUAUAUUUAUAUUUAUAUUUAUAUUUAUUAUUUUAAAUACAAUAAUAUAUAAUAAUUACUAUAUCUAAUAUUAAUAUGCAUUAUACUUAUAUAAAAUAUGAGUACAAUUAAUAUUUAUAUAUUAUAUAAUUAUAAUUAUAUAUUUAUUUUAUAACGUUUGUAUAAUUAUAAUUAAUUAUAUAUAUAAUAUUUAAUUUAAUUAGUUACAAACUUAUAAUAAUGAUGUUAUUGUAUUAUAUAAUUAUACAUUAUAAUUAUUUAGUUAAAUAUAAUAAUACUUAUAUAAUAUAUAUUAUAAAUUUAUUAAUAUUAUAUAAUAUUAUAUUUAUAAUAUAUAUGUAUAUUUAUAAAUGUAUGUUAUAUGUGCAUAUAAUUAUAAUAUAUACAUGUAUGUAAUAUUAAUAAGUUAUAUAAUUAUAAUAAUUAUUAUUUUAAAUAUAAUAAUAUAUAAUAAUAACUAUAUUUAAUAUGUAAUAUAUAUUAUAUUUAUAUAAAAUAUUUGUAUAAUUAAUAUUUGUAUAUAUUAUAUAAUUAUAUAUUUAUAUUUAAUUAUAUAUAUAAUAUUUAAUAUAAUUAGUUACAAACUUAUAAUGAUAAUAUUAUUAUCUAAAUUUACUAAUACAUUUAUACUAAUAUAUUUAAUUAGUGAAAAUUUCUUAUAUCUCAUUUACAAAGAGUCAAUAAUUAUCAUUUACGAUGUGGUUUAUAAUAUAUUUAUUAUAUUCCAUUCCGAAAGAGUUGACGAACCAAACAUCAACUAUAGUAAUGAUACACAUUCCAGGUACUUGAACCAAACAAAUAUAUUGGAAUGAAUGACCUCAUUCCAAACCCAAGAUAUCCGAUUCCGAAUCCGAAUCCGAUUCCGAUGUGCGAACCAAACGCCACCUGACACUUUUACCUAAGACCAUUGCGAAAUCGGCGUAAUAAGUGGGGCCACCACUCUAGGUCAACAGAGGCUUUGCCAUCACCCGUGUUACACCUUCGCUCCCCACGUGUACACCACGUUUGACCUCCACUUGUCUUUUCCUUGUUUUCUCGGACUGAAUAUUAAUGAAUACUAUACUACUACUACCUGUCAAGUUCGUUCUUUUUUUCAUCAGAAUCUUUGCGCGAAUUACUGCAAAUUGAUGUGCGUUUAUCUCUUCGUUUGAUAGAUUCCAUCAAUGCUGAAAUCCAACAGCUUUGUGUCUGGAGAGGCAAAGGAUUAUUAUAGCGGAGGAGGAGGAGGAGAACUAAUUGACCUUUUUGAUUGGUGGAAUGAAAUUCAAGAGUCGGAAAAAUGGCAGCGGGGAGUAUAUUACACUCUUUCUGCGUCUUAUGCAUUGGUUUCCUUGGUUGCACUGGUAAGACUGAUAAUAACAUUCUUUCUAAUAACAAUUUAAACAUAAGUCUAUGGUUUCAAUUGCAUUUCUUGAAUAUGGCAGGCACUCGGGGGGUCCGAGAUAAUUUUUUGCUUCCUUUCUUCCGUUGUUGAAUGUGUAGCAGUUUAUGUUGCCCCUCUGUUUUCCCCUCUUCUGAUUUUAUGUUUGGUUGGAUUUUUCUGUUUUUCGAGACACUUAUUUGAGCCUGUGGAAUUCAGAUUUUUUUUCACUGUUGUCUAAACCAGGAAGCGGAUGAUUCCUGAAAGUUGAAAAGAAACAAAUUUUGGACUCAAAACAUGUAUUUGGUCUGGGAGAUGAUAUUCAACGACUCCCUCAUUUUGUUCUGUGGGUCUAGAAUUAGGCUGAAUUGUUGCUCGGUUGAUCUCCUAGUCAAGUGAUGAAUGAGUUGCUCUCGAAUCUGCAUUUUCCAUCUUCUGAAGUUUGAAAGUUUCUCUGUUUUCAGAUUUAGUUGUUACUCGAUUGCCAUUUCAUUCUUAAUUUGUUUCCAGGUGCAACUUAUUCGCAUUCAGUUAAGAGUACCUGAAUAUGGUUGGACAACACAAAAGGUUUUUCACCUGAUGAAUUUUAUUGUGACAGGAUGUAAGUUUUGCUUUUUCUUUCUACCUGGAAUCGCUUCUUGUUAAAUUUGUCUGACUCCUUAAACUUUAUUGAACUUUUGGCAGUGAGAGCCGUCCUGUUUGGAUUUUACAGAAACGUGUUUACCAUCAGAACGAAGGUAAUUGUUGUGCCCUUAAUUUCAGUUUGUUUCGUUUCUGUUUUGUAGUCCUGUCCACUGAGGCAUAAGCUUUUCAAGUAUAUUGUAAAAUUGGUUGAUGGUUAGGGCCCCUUCAGAUGAAAAUAUGAACAUGGUCAGGGGCCCUUCAGAUGAAAAUAUUUACAAGGACCUAGAUAAUCAAGCUUAAGUCUUUACCUGAAAGGAAACAAACCUUUUCUGGCGUAGGACUGUUAAUGAUUCAAAUGUUUCAUUCUUAUAAUGGACAUUCGUUGCAUCCGGUCUCUGAGUUUCAUUCUGUCCUACACUUCUAAUGCUUGUUCGUCUACUUUAGCAAGUAUGAACCACAAGUGAAAAACUGUGGCUCUUGAAAUCUUUUGAAAUUCUUACUCAAAGAAAAUGUGAUGAACAGGCACUUGAAUUGAUACUUUUGGAACUUCCAGGUCUGCUGUUUUUCUCAACAUAUACAUUACUUGUUCUGUUCUGGGCUGAAAUAUACUAUCAGGUACUUUUGCAACAGAUUCUUUACAUGGUUGUGAACCUACUCAAGCAAGUUACUGGCUGUACUUCUUUAUUAAUUUGCUUCAGGCAAGAAGUCUUCCCGUUGAUAAGUUUCGACCCACAUACUAUAUAAUUAAUGGUCUUAUCUACCUUCUCCAGGUAACAACAUCAAGUUUUGAUGUUACCACUGCCUUAAUUCAUGCUUUUUUUUUCCUGACUUUUGACUGUUCUAAUCAAUUGUAGAAAUGCUCUGGUGCUUUGUAGGUGUGCAUCUGGAUCUAUGCAAGAGUCAGCCAGACGACAACUGCAGUUCAAGUUGCUCGGCUCUUUUUUUCAGGUGAGUAUAUAUUUUCUUUUUUCCAGGUGAGUACAUAUUUUAUUUUGUUGAUUGCUGGAUUAUUUGUUUGCUGAUGCAUUUUUUAGGAUGUAACAUUUGACUUUUUACAGUUCUCUCUUUUUCUGCUGCUCUGGGAUUUUUGAUAUAUGGCGGAAGGUAAUUGCUUGCUUGACUGUAAAAUAUUGUCUUCAGCCUCAUUUAGUUAUCUAUCGGAGUACCCCCAAGAUUUUUAGCUUGCUUAGCUUUUCCUGUUUAGGUUAUUCAUCAUGCUGAGACGCUUUCCCAUACAAUCUCGAGGCCGUCAAAAGAAACUGCAGGAGGUUUUAGCUUGCAAUUUUGUGUUCUUUAUAGCGGCUAUUUACAAAAUGUUGCUACAUUUAUUCCAAAUUAAAUAAAUAUUGAUAGUUUUAUUUGGUUUCUCUUAAUAUAGAAGCCCGUUUCUUGAGAAUCCACUUUAGAGUUUAGAGUCAACCUCCAAGAUAUCAACUUUUCCCCUGCUUGCUUUUCUUUUCCAUCUUCUUUUUCAAUUCACACAACACUCGGCACCCAUUUGGUACGCAACAGAUCCACCUUAACUGAUCCUAAUAAUUCAGUAAUUAUUGACACCUAUGUUUACACGAAUAGUUUGGAAAACUUGGGGCCGUUCUUUGGACUUAAUGAUUGCAAAACAUACAAAAUGAGAAGUGAAUUCACAAGUGAAGUAACAUGGGGGCUAUUGGCAUAAACCAGCAGGUCCAAAGCCAUGAAUCAGGAUGAAAUAAUGUUUAUAGUUGAAAAGGAUUUUGGGUUUUGGACCCCAAAAGUGUAUUAUGUUUUGGUAGUCCGUGUUUGUCGUUUGAAAGAUUAAACUGGCUGUAAAGAUGCAUGUCGAAUCUUCAUAUGCUUUGGGAAGAUUGUGGCUUGAUGAUCUGUGGGGAUAUUGGUGUAAAUUGUGGAAGUAGGAGAGAAAUAAUAGUGACCCUUCUUUAUAGCGUCUCUUUUAUGGAUAAACUUCAAAUACGGCAAAAUGAAUGAGACUAUUUUAUUUAGACUUGCAAGGUUUGUGGUCUUGUUCUGCAUCUUAACUUAUUUUAGUGAUUGCAGUCUUGAGUUAUAUGCUAUGGUGAAGCAGUAGUUAGUUACCAAUGCAUUGCCUCUCUACCAGGGUGAAGUGAAUGUUGAUGCUUGACGAUUCUUCUUGGCAGGUUGGAUACGUGACAUGCAUUUGCUGCGCUUGUUUCUUGAUAAGAUGCGUUAUGGUAAGUUGCAUGAUCUAUUAGACUAUAAAACAUAGCCAUAUCCAAACUUCUAUUACCAUGUUAGUGUACAACAUCUUCACUGAAAUAUUACAGGAUGCUCUUUCUGCCUUUGACGAGGAUGUUGAUGUUGAUGUCCUGGACCAUCCGGUCCUCAACCUUUUCUAUUACAUGGUACAAUUUGCAUAUUUCUGUCAUAUGAUUCGUGUAAUAUAGCAUCUGUAACCUCUCAGUCAAGUAAUUAAAAAUGCGCUUACACUUGGUUCUGUUUACGAGUUUGUCAAUAGCUACUAGAAAUGGAGUAUCCAAAGCAGCAGCUGGAUACGCCCACUAGAGCACUCAAUGGCCCCUGCUGAUUAUAUGUUGCCUAUGGGUUUUUUUUCAGAUGGUGGAAAUUGUGCCAUCUGCAAUAGUGCUUUUUAUCCUACGGAAGUUACCUCCAAGACGUGUAUCGGAUCAGUAUCAAUCUAUCCGCUAAAGCCCUUUGAUUUUCUGAUAACCUGGAAUCUGCAAUAAGAGAGAACGUAUAUAGAGUGAAUAAUUUGAAAUGACUGCAAAGCUUUUGAUUAUCUGCCCUUCAACACAGCACAUCUGCGGAACUUUUCAUCUGUACUUUCCCACAUACAUUGCAACUCAGCAAAAUCAAUUGAGGCCGAAUCCACCUCGCACUUUUAUUCUGGUUGGAGAGUCUAAUUGCCAGCGUAGUCAUACUCCUCCUUGUUGGAUCCCUUUCUUUAAUCUUUUCACAAAUUGAAGAGUCACUCCUAAAAGCUUUUCUGAUACUAGCGUUUUAAAUUAAGGUCUUUUGCACCUUUUUUUUUAACAUUUCUAUUCAGCAUUGAUGGAGGCCAUUGGCUGCUUGCUUUGGUCUUUAGAUUCUCUGUUUCUCAUUUUUUACCCAGAGACAAAAAAGAGGAGGGGGAAAGGGACAGUUAAUGCAUGGUUCUAUCCAGGUUCUGGCCACAUGCUCUACGGGAUGCGUAUUUGUGUAGGUCAAGCCCCAUUUGCUUUGAAAAUAUUGUGGGAAGAAAGAUAUAAUUUGAAGAGGGCACUAAAUUUUCGUUAACAGUAGAAGGAUGCAGAUGGAAGUAAACUUGGAAGCUGGAGGAAGAGGUAUGGCAGAUGUACUAGGAUUAAUAUACGUAUGGUUCUAUGAAUCUCGAACAUGAUUGGCUCCUGCAUGGAUAGGAAGGAGCCUCGCCGCAGCAGCGGUAGAAAAUAAAUAGGAACGACAGAAAGUAGUCGCUAUUAUGAAUAGAAUAGGAAAAGACUUCUUGAUUAACCAGGAGUCUUGGACACUUGAGAAUUUCACUUUGUUCAUCCGAAAGCACCUAUGCAUAAGAAGCUAGAUUGAACUUAUUUUAUUCUAUUUUUUGCGUUAACAAACUCACCAGUGACCAUCAAAAUGGAGGGUGACAGAGUUAAAUUUGUUGCCCUAAUGUUGGUUUGCAUGCCUAGUGCUACCCAUGCAUGGGGCUGGCCUUGGCCCUGGUCUCCUUGGUGGCAGCCGCCAUCACCAACACCUCCUCGAUCCUCGCCACCGCAAACCCCAGCUCCUCCUCCUCCAAGGCAUCCACAACCGCCACUCGCACCUCCUCCAAAAUCACUACCACCUUCUCGUCCUCCAAGACAACCACCACCGACUCCCAGAGCUUCCCAGGAUCCCGCUGACUGCCAGGAUGCAUUGACAUACGUGGAUGGUUGCAUAAGAGAUCUCAUAACUUUCUUUUUCGAGAAAGAUGGUUCUUCAGUCGGGCAAAAUUGUUGCGACGCCAUCUCCGAGCUUUCAGAUGAUUGCUUUUCCGAAGCGUUCGCGGGCUUCAGUGACCCCAAGUUCAUUAAGAGAGUUAGGGACUAUUGUGCUAGCCAAUUUCACGUCUGACUCUCGAUUCAUUAUGCUUCUUGUUUACUUAUUUUCCUAUGACAUUAAUUUCGCAUCUCUAUUGUCAUGCAUGAUUUAGUUAAAACUAAUCAUGCUCUCUCUUCAAUGCUUUAUGGUCCAGCAAACAUGAACCAUCAGUUUUAAUUUCUUGCGAUUUGUAUUAAGCCAAUUUUGCAUUCUGAAAUCUUGGAUUUCUAUGAUAUACUGAGUGUUUUGAGUUUCUAAGGAGAACUUUCGGUUCUCUGAUGCGAGAUGCCAAUGUGGGGUUAAGCAAAAGAAAUAUUUGAUACAGUAUAUAUUUAACAAAUAAACCGCUAGAUUCCAGACCAGAGUGUAGUGGCGCAGUUCUAAAUCACAAAGACAAAACAACACAUAAUCACACGAAAGCUGAGGUAAUACAAUAAAGUGGGAACUAUAUGUUCCAGAGCAUCUGGAGACAAAACGCAAUUCAGUGCGCUGAAUCGACCCUUAGUUUUUGUCAAAUGUGAUUUCUCAAAAUGAUUAUUUUUAUGAUUCAGCAAAGUUGGCUUAAACUGGCAAUCUUUUUUUUUUUUUUUUUUUUUUUACGCCUUAAACAGGCAGUCAAUUUAUUAUUAUUUUUUUUUUUACACGCCUUAAACAGGCAGUUGUAGUACUACUACAUGAGCAAUUAUAGUACAACUACAGAACGGUAGAUUAGUAUAUUUAGCUUUAGUGUCUGUUUGAUAACAUAAAAAAGUGCUGAAACUGAAUUCAUUCAGACAUUCAGAUGUUUUGGGUGUUUGAUAAAUAAAAAUUUUUCUGCUGAACUUAUUAAGUGGUGCUGAAUUUGUAUGUAUUUUUUUCAGCACAAGAAUCGUAACUGAAUGCUUAAUUUGAUAAGAAUCAAGAGAUUUACUUCAAUUACUUUAUUUUAUCUACCAAAUCUAUCCUUGUUUGUUAAUUACAUUCAAAAUCCUUAUCUAAUUAAACAACCUAAUAUUUUCUAUCCAAAAUCCUUAUCUAAUUAAACAACAUGCCAUUCUCUGUUUAAUGGCUUUCUACUUCUAUUUUUUCCCUAUUUAAUGACUUUUUUACAAUUUCUCCAUGCUCCUCACAUCUGUCUACUCCUUAUUUUUUUUCCAUCUUUCUACUCUUUCAUAAUUUUGUCAUUUUUUUCCUCCCAAUUUUUUUUAUUGCUACCGUACUCACCGAUCUCAAAUUCAUUAUUUCCAAGGUAAGUGACAUUGAUUAUUUGUUGUUUUGCUUCAACAUUUUUCCAUUGAAGUAAUUAAAUUUCUAAAUAAUUUGGUAUGAAUUUAAAACUUGUUUAUUGCAGCUUCCUUUUGCUUAUAUUUGGACUUUUCUUAUCAAAUUCUGAUUUAAAAAAAUAUUUGCACCGAUAUUUGGACUUUUUCAUAAUAUAUUUAUUCUUUUAUAUUACUUUGAUUUAAAAAUAAAUAUUGUCAUUUUCAUACCUAACAAUUUUAAGCUAAUUAAAUCAUAGGUUCCAUUUCCUUUUUGGAUUAAAAGAUAGAAGGGCAAAAUUGUACAAUUUAGCUUAUUAAGCAUUAAGUUAUAAAUGUUUAUCAAACAGUAUAAAUAUGUUCAGCAUUAAGAUUCAGAUAUUCAUAUAUCUUUUUUCAGUGCUUAAUAUUCAGCAAAUUAAUUGUUUCAGUAUUCAGCAUUCAGAAUUCAGAAUUCAGAUUCAGUUUUAUCAAACGGAGCCUUAGACUCCAACAAAUCUGCAGCAUUGCUCUCAUAUAGCAAAGAUGCCACAAAAUGUCUCUGCAUAAUACUGGUAAUGUUUUGUGACUAAUACUACAAAAAAGAAUGUUUUACGUAGAAUACAUUUUCCAAAUAAGGGUAAAUGGCAUUGAUGAAGUUGCACACUACCGUGUUCCUUCUCCUUUUCCUACAACGUUCUUAGCAGUUCAUGGCCAAGAUUUGAUAAAAAAAAAAAAAAAAGUACUAUGAUUUAGAUUUCAUCUUGUACCUUAUUUUUUAUAUCGUGAGAUUCACAAAAUUUUUGUUCUAUAGUUACACGUUAUUGAAAGUGAUUUAGGUUGUGUACAGAUAGAAUUACGCCAUGUGCAUGUUGCAUAAAACAGCCCGAACGUUUUCUUGGUAACCGUUCGGCCCCUUGAAUAGGUUCUGUGCUUGAACCUGAAGUCAAUCGGUGCAAGGCUCUAUUUGAAGAGUACUGGGAACGAAGUCAAAAGAGGGCAAGGGCCGACCUUAGGAGCUAGGAAGAAAGGAGAAAAGAGACCUUCUUUGGAUCUGGAAAUGGGCAAGCCCCGCCUCUGAAGGCCAACAAUUAGCAUCCAGCAGUCAAAACAAGAUAAACAAUUCUUUCUUUCUUUCUUUCUUUCUUAGUAAAGCAGAAUACGUGCUGUAGAUUGCACGUAUCAAGGUUAAAUUGUUGAAACCCAACAAAAAACAAUUGUUGAAACCCCCCCCCCUCCCCCCCCCCCAAAAAAAACCAAAAAAAAAAACCAAAAAAACAAAAAAACCAAAAAAAAAAGUCAAAGGAUUACUUUACCACUUUAGCAGUUCUUGCUCUCCGGCAUGUACAAUGAUUCGUAACAUUUUUUGUUUUGAAAGUAGAAACAAUUCAUGCAUCACAAUACAAGAAUAACAGGACUAAACCACCUUUCACAAAUAGGGACUCAACUUAUUUUUCCUGAAAGAACAAAAAACAACUAAAAGGGUCAAGUGCCAAACCUGAUGCCUGCGUGCCUGUAUGCCAAAGAUGCAAAGCUAAAGUCAACAAAAUUAACCUUGUAAGCGUAGCUCUAGCUCAACAGCCCUACGGAAAAUCCUUUGUUGCGUCUUUCACUCUUUCCAGUCUUCUCAGACCAUUGGGACUCUCUCCUCCUAAUCUCACUUGAUACUAUCAACAGCUAGAGUUAAAACCCCCUAAAACCCAUCAAUUAAAUAAAGGGAGACGGAAUUUGAUUUUGAAUUGAAGAGUAAAAAAGAAAAAUAAUAGAGGAGUUUUGGUAUCUUGUAGAUGGUCUCCAAGUAAUGGGUGCCACGGGUUCCAAGCUCGAGAAGGCCCUCGGAGACCAGUUUCCUGAAGGAGAACGCUAUUUUGGCCUUGAAAAUUUUGGGAAUACUUGCUAUUGCAACAGUGUCUUGCAGGUUUUUAUUUCUUACAUAAAAAUUCUGUCUUUUUUCUUUCUCUGGAAUUUUGGUUUCUUCGAGUUUUGAGCACUUAUUUCGUUCUUGUUGUUGGUCAAAGUUUCUAUUUUUGGUUUGAACUUUGAUUCAUUUGCGAUGAUGGGCUUGGUUUUUCUUGACUUUCCAGUGGCGUAUCAAGAUUUUAUAUUUGGAUUGAUUUUUUUUUAAUCAUUAAUGGUGUUUAUUUUUCUGCUUUUUUUUGGUUUUUUUUUUGGGGGGGGGGGGUUGCUGGUGAUUGGAUAUGCAGGCGUUAUACUUCUGUGUACCAUUUAGGGAACAACUUUUAGAGUAUUAUGCAAAUGGGAAAACUCUAGGGGAAGCAGAAGAAAAUCUCUUGACUUGUUUGGCAGAAUUGUUCUCGCAGGUAUGGUGUAUUUGCUUGAAAAUUGAUUAAAUCUACUUUCAAAUUGGUGUUUGUUUCCGCUCAUACUUGUACGCAUUCUUUUCUGCUAUGCUUUCCGAUAUAUAUGUAUAUAUAUAUAUAUAUAUAUAUAUAUUGCGGUCCUCAAACAUUGCUGUGAUUUGACCUUUUGUUAUGUCCUACAAUCAUAAGUUCAAUGGCUGUGAUGAGUUAUCCUUUGCAAUUUGUCUGUGUUGUACAAGAAUAGCUAACAGUAACUUCCUUCAGAAAGCUGCUGUCUUUGCAUGUACGAGGAGUAAAAGUAUGUCCUUUGUGUUGAACACAAAGAUGUAUAGCUUCAUGAACAUGAGACUACAUGGUUCGAUUUUUUUGUGAACGUUUUUGGAUCUAUUUUCUUGUACAAAACACUUUGUUUGGUUGUGAAUAUUCGUAGCACUCUCUUGUGAAGAUUGGCCCCAGUAAGUCCUAGAUAAACUGAUUGUUAGUACUUACACCUUCCCCAAGAUCACAUUUAAUUUUUAUUGCAUCUUUUCUGCUUCUUGAUACUUCAACUGGUUGUCGAUUACUGUGCCCAUAAUCCCUAAUUUAAUUGCUCUAUUUCAUGAUUUGGAUGAUAAUUUAGGAGUUUUGUGUGCAUACUCUUUCGAGUCCACAGUAUUGACUAGAAAGGUACAUGUCAUGUCAGUCUUGCUGCUUAUGGUGAACAUUUAAUUUGCCAACUAAAUGUUCCUUAUCAAAGAGGAAACUUCACAAUCAGAAGAUAUUUUUUUAACUGAAUCUGAUUUGGUUAGACACUUGGUGGAAUCUUUCUUGUAUUACUGUUACUUAAUUGAAGGGUUGGUGUAAGUGGAAAAGCUAUUCUAUAACGUCCUAACUUCAAAAGGCAACCAAGUUUUUGCUUGCCGAGCAAAGUAAUAGCCCAGUUAAAUUAAGAGAGAACUAGAUAAGGAGAUGCCACACAUUGGACAUGCAUGCAUUGAAGGAUGUAUUGGAGGUCAAACUGGGAGAUCUGUCAGUUCUACAAUAUAUUGCACAACACUCCAUAAGUGAUGUUUAUUUUAGAUAACUCUGUUGUGCUUUAUUUAAAUACAUAGUGAUAAUAUUGAUAUUUCGAGUAGAAAUUGCAACUUUAGGUUUUAGGCUCUAAUGAAUAUCUGAACUUUUACCCCCAGAUAAGUUCACAAAAGAAGAAAACAGGGGUCAUUGCACCAAAGCGUUUUGUUCAGAGAGUGAGAAAACAAAAUGAACUUUUCCGUGGCUACAUGCAUCAGGUAUAUCUUAUGAUCUAAUUUUUUUGUGUUUACAUUACAUUGUUAUGCAAGUAUUCAAAAAACAAAAAAAGAAAAAAAAAAAAAGAUAUGCAAGUAUUCAACCAGUCUUCACUUUUUUUUGUUUUUGGUUGGGGGGGGGGGGGAAGGGUUUAAAAUUAACAAGUGAAAUCGUAGUUGUUGUCUAUCUAUGCAUAAAUGUGUUUUUUCCUGAAUUUCUUAAAAGGUUAUUGAAACAUUGGCAAAAUGCUAUGCUCAUCGAGCCACAGCUCAUAUCAAUAUGCCUGAUCUUUCUUGAUUUUAAGAACCUUUGGUAGCAAUACAUGCUGUACAAGCUAAUUAGAUUGAGUCUAUGGUAAGCCAUACAUGUUUCAGAAGCUAAUAAUAUGAACUUUGAUAAGGUUGAGAUAAUCUGACAUUGGGAUAGGAAGCUGAAGUAUGCUGAACUGUAUUGAGCUAGUCAUUCUGCACUCAAUUAUUUUUAUUUUCAUGUAUACAAUUGCGUCUCCUUCCUUUGUGUGGCUUUGUUUCUUAUGAUAUAUGGAGAAUGUUAUAUAUUAGAUAUCCUUCUACGUAUCAUGUACUUUUGUAGGAUGCCCAUGAAUUUUUGAACUUCUUGCUCAAUGAACUUGUUGAUAUACUGGAGAAAGAGUCGCAAGCAGCAAAAUGUCCACCAUCUCAGGAAAGGAUUGCUAAUGGGCAGAAUAAUGCUCAGUCAAAUGGUGUCAAGGAGCCACUGGUUACCUGGGUACACAAGAAUUUUCAGGUAAUGCUCUUUUAUGUUCCUCUGAUGCUUCCCCUAGUUUCAAUACCAUCGUUGAUAGGAAGAGCAUGUGUGAUCCCUGAGGACAUUUGUGCAUGAUUUCCAUUUGUUCUAUUUGUCCGCUGAUACUAGAUGGAAAAAAUAUGAGGUUUAAUUUUUAAGUCACUGGGGUGUGUGUUUAUCUAAAAAUUCAGCGUUUAGUCCUUCAAAGGGGAGAUAUCUUUGUACUUUUCCUUUUUCCUCUGCACUGAUGGCUCGCACAUUGUUUGUUAUUUGUUCUUGUUCAGGGAAUACUUACCAAUGAGACAAGGUGUCUAAGGUGUGAGACGGUUACAGCAAGGGAUGAGACAUUCUUUGACUUGAGCCUUGAUAUUGAACAGAAUAGUUCUAUCACUAGCUGUCUCAAAAACUUCAGUUCCACAGAAACCUUGAAUGCGGAGGAUAAGUUUUUCUGUGACAAGUGCAGUAGGUAGGUCUCUCUGCUUGCUUUCUUUCAUUAAAAGAAUCCAUGCAAUACGCAAUAAUGUGUUCCAUUCUGCAAUUUAGCCUGCAAGAGGCUCAAAAGAGGAUGAAGAUUAAAAAGCCACCUCAAAUUCUAGUCAUCCAUCUGAAGCGUUUCAAAUACAUGGAACAACUUGGUCGAUACAAGAAGUUGUCCUAUCGCGUAGUGUUCCCUCUAGAGCUGAAACUGAGCAACACUGUGGAAAACGCCGAUUCUGAAUACUCUUUGUUUGCUGUUGUCGUUCAUGUGGGGAGUGGGCCCAACCAUGGGCAUUAUGUUAGUCUUGUAAAAAGCCACAACCACUGGUUGUUUUUUGAUGAUGAAAAUGUGGAGAUGAUUGAUGAGUCGGCUGUUCAGACUUUCUUUGGAUCUGCUCAGGAGUACUCAAGCAAUACGGAUCAUGGAUACAUCCUCUUCUAUGAGUGCCUUUCUUCAGAUGAGAAGAGCUGAUGAAAGGGCAUCUAAUCAAGUGACUAUAUACUUUUGCCGUUUUAUAGCAAAGUGUUUUCUGUCCUCUACUCAUUUGAUCUCCUUUUGUUACCCAUCACGCUCAAUCGGCUCAGAGACUAGAUGCUUGUAGAGUGGAUGUUCGAUGUAUACCGGACAACUAUUUGUCGCAAUAAAAACAAGUGCAAAUCUUGAUACAGGAAUACUCUCUGUCUUCAGAUGUUUGCUGGUGAUUAGGUGACUGAAACUUUUACAUAUCCCACACCUUAAAAACUGAGAGUUUCUCAUUUGUGUCAGAUUCUUGCGGGAUUUCAUUUAGCCACAGGCUUAAUCAUGCAUUUCCUUUUAUGGGUAUAGUCUUGCAUAUAUAGUAGUAUUUCAUAAAAUGAGAGUCUCUAGGCUAGAAUUUUGCUAAUAAGUCUGGUUUUUUCUCCUAUUCUUCUACACCUUUUUUCUUCUCUCCUUUUAUGACAGCAUGUUUGCUAAUGGUGAUUGCAGGGAUACUGUUGGAAACCCACCCAACUCCAUUACACACACGUUAUUUGCUGAUCUAGCUUCUGUACAUUUUGAUACAAAUGCAUAAAUGGGGCUUAUGCCCCUUAAAUUGUGAACAGCACCCCACUUAAAGGAAAAUGGAAAAAGACAAAAAAAAAGAUGGAUUCUCGGUUGCAUCUUCCCAUCUGUAUAAAGGCAUGUACCGCCAGGAAGAAUUUGGCUCCGGUAUUUGUUUAGUCAUUCUCAAAGUAUGCAUCUUGCUGAGGGCUGAGGAAACCUAUAUAUAUAUAUAUAUAUGGUCUAUCAUUGAAUGAAAACGUAGUCGGAAAGCACUAAAAGUCGUGACAGGUAAGCGUUAAUGUAAACAAGAGGGACUAUAGCCGACUUUAAUUUUCCAAAUUAGUUCUCCUUUUUACAUGGUUUGAUCCUAGAGCCACCGGGAAAAGAAUUGAAAUGAGGCAUCUUGCACCUUUAAGCACAUGCUUUCCAGGUUAAAAUUCCAACUCCAAUUUGAAAGGUUACGCAUGAAGUAUAAAGUGACGUAAAACUAUAAGUAAUGUACAUGAUUCGUCUAAUAUUUUCAUUGUUAUUGUGGAUACCCAAAAGAAUCAACGAUUGACAACAUAACAUACAGAUUUCUUGAUGGUUCUCUAAACGCUGCUUUUUUUUUGGGGACAACUACCAUACGCAUUUGCUCCUGUAGUGAAAUCUCACAUCAAUAAUGUGAAGGGAUUCUUGCUACUACUUUAAGCAACGAGUAACACUACUCUGCGUGGUGCCACGCGUCCUACAACAUUGCGCAAGUUCCCAUGGAAUUGGAUCAUUACAUGCACAACAACAACAAAGAUGUGCCUUUGCGAGAUUUGGAAACAUCAGAAACCAAAGCUUGCUAAAUGAUUUCACUCAGUCUCCAAAUAUGCAUAGGAUUUGGUACGUAGCUCCUCUCUAUGUAUAAAGGUACUCUUUCCCCAGUUUUCUUCACGUAGUACUUCUUUUCAUCACAGCAGCAGCAGCAGAAGAAGACCAAUCCAUCGAACCAAAGUCUCUCAAGUGUUUUACAAUGUCGGUGUUACAUCCAUCCGUGGAAGUGGAAGUUAUCUGCGCCGACUACUUUGGCGACGAACUUGUGUUGCCUCUGCCCAAGCUUAAUAACAAGAUGGAUAGCUACAAAAGCAGCGGGAAGAAUACUGCAGCAAGGGUGGCUGGAAAACCUGCUGCCACCGAGGUCCAGAAUAAGGGUACUGACCAUCACCACCACCCCAGUAGCCACAAGAAAUCAUUCCUGGGAUUCUCUCCGGCUUUUGAUGGCUUGCAUUGUUUCGAGACGCUGAAUUGGAAUUGAUGAGGUUCACCAUCCUUAAAAGAAACCACAAACGUAGCCUUCUCCCUUCCAUGUCAAAAGGAGGUAGUAGUCACACUGUAGUGGCUUUUCGUAAUAUCCUAGUAGCUUGUUUCCAGAUUUCUUCUCGUUUGUAUAUACCGAUGCUUUCAUCCAUGUUUGUGACUUCAAGUCCUCUACUUUUAUUAUCUCUAACAUCCUAAUCCCACCCACCUCUUCUUACAUAAAACCAAGGGAAAGAUGAAAGAAACUUGAUUUGAAUUUUUAUUUUUUUUUCGAAAGCGUCUUUUGCCUUAAAACCACCGACUAGCUAAAAAUCUUAAAGAGGUAUAGAAAUCCUAUGCAUGUAAUCAGUCAGUCAGUCAGUGACCACACCACUGGGCAUUAGGACUCUCGAAAUAACCAGAUCCACCAUUCAUGAUUUUAAGUACAAUCCAUCGUUUUCUGUUGGUUUUUUGGGACAUAAACUAAGAAACAACACCUUAGUGUUGCAAAAAAAGCUUAUAAGAGACUUGUAUUGAAGAUGGAAGAUGAGCUUAUAUUCUACAUUCAUCAACUCACUAUUUAUAGUGAUUAUAUGAAACAAACUAGCAAAAUAUUCAACUAAUAAUUAUCCUAAAAAUCUCAACAAAAUAUAAUCUUCUACUACUAGCAAAUCUUAUCUAAAAUAUUUGUUAACAAACCAACAUGAUCUUUGGUUAACAAAUAUCCUUAUUUUUUAAUAACUAAAUUAUUUUGAUAUCAAACAAAAUCUAGCAAAAUAUGUAGAAAAAGUUGCAUAUUCCAACAUUUUCCCUAAUUUACUUUUGUACCGUGCGUACCUUUAGCGUUCAUACCACCUGAGAAUUGUGUUAGAAUCGAUCACACCCCAAAAUCCUCGAAACUCCAUAAUACAACACGGUAUUAAACUAACCAACCAACAAACUAAUUCCAAAAUCUCAUUAUUAUCCUUCAUAAAUAUUUCUUCGUUUUCAUAACUCUUAACAACGCACUUGAGACUAGAAUUGCAGAAUGAUUUUUAACUUAAUCCUCAAACCAUGAAAAAUUACAGUCGAUGGUCUACGUGAAAGCUAUAAAAGAAAAAAAAAAAAGAGAGAGCAAAAAGUAGCAGUUGAUUUUAUACACUACAUAUUUACAUACAUUGAACCAUUGCACUAGCGUUCCAUCAAUGAACCGAGCGCAGUCAAUAAAUACAGCGUCAAUAAUAGGCACAAUUUGUGUUCGAGGCUCAUUCAAAUGCCAUGGACAUGAAAGUAUCGUGAUCCGACAAUUUUUCAACAUCAAAUAGUUCCUCAUCAGCGUAGCUCACAUCUUCAGAACCACUAAGUGUCGGGUUGGAAG
rnacentral:lncRNA from 1 species